rnacentral:lncRNA from 1 species
CUUGGGUUCGUUGGAGAGCCAAUCUUGUUAGGACUUACUUUAAGAAUCCAUGGGCAAGUAUAUCUGUAAUAGGUUCAAUGUUUCUUUUUGCCUUCACCUUUGCCCAGACUGGUUAUACCGUAAUUGCUUACUAUCGGAGGCCUUAGUGAAUGUUUAGGCAUUUCUUGUUACCAAUUUCAUGGAUAUUGAUCAUCAAUGGUUGGUAAAAAGGGUGAAGAAACUUAUAAGUGUCAUUGGAAUCAUAAAGAUGGAACUCAAAUGUUAUUAAGUACUGCAAUAAAAACAUAAUUGUUGGUUUCAUUGUAGACAGAUUUAUAUCCUUGAACUUAACAAGAAGCAUGCGGAUAGAAUGAACUUUGCUGAAAAUCUUUGCAUAUAUUCUCAAAAAAAAAAAAAAUUUUUUUUUUUUUGGAAUGUAUCUCCAUUCUCUAAUUCAUGGUCGCUGUAUGGUUUUCCAGUUGGUAAGUUGGAACUAAAUCAUUAAUGUAGACAUUCAUGAGGUAGUGUUUUCUACAUGAUUAUUAUCUGAACAAUUUGCCGGUCUUAUUCAAAUCAAUCCCUGCAUGUGUCGAUCGAGCCAAUUAAAAAAAGAAAAAAAAAAUCAUUUGGCACUCCCAAUCCAAAUUUGCUUUCAAUUAUUGUUUUAAAAUUUUGCCCUAGAACUUUUCAUUUUCAAAUCCAUUGAAUUUCAAUAUAGAGAAGAGGAAACUGUCAGUAAAAUUUGUUGCGUCUCUCACUUGAGAGCUCUUUCUCUCUCUGCGAGAGCUUUUCCCCCCAAUAGUGGGAGCCAAAAAAUUUCAAACUCUGCAAACUUUUCAAACUUUUCAAACUUUCAAAAAUCCAAAAACAGAGAUUCAGACCAGGAACUAAUAAUCAAAUACUUGUAACCAAUCAACAUGGAUCUGUCCGCAAAUCCAAACAAAGAUCAGGUGUUAAUGUUGGUGGGUGUCGGAACAAAAGGUGACAGGGUCCAGGGGCUUCGGACAUACUAUUUAUAGAUGGUCGGAGCUAAGAAGUUGGAUCGACGUAGAACAGGUUUUACAGCCAUAAAUGCAGGCUUUAAUGUUUGAGGUUCUUUAAGGUUUUAUCCCUUAACUUUUUUCUCUGCAUUUUUUACUUUUAUCGUUUCCUUUCUUCUUCUUUGUUGUCCUUUCGUGUAUGUGUUUCUCCCAGUAAGGCAUUUACCUAGUGGAAGAUUGCAGAUUUGAAUGCGCAUCUGUAUAAGUUUAGUUAGAUCCUUUUCAUUUUUCAGAAAGUGUGGGUCUCCAUCUAAAUAUCAUAUUACUACUAUGGUUGAAGAGUUGACUGAAAUCAUGCAAAAGUUUGCAUUAAAUAGCCAUGAAUACAGUGUGACUGAUCUGGAUGCAGGGGAUGCCCGCACAGGUAGACAGGAAUGUCAAACAAGUUUGUUGGGCAGAAUCAGGGGAGAUAAAAUUGCUAACUAUACUGGGGUAAAAAAUUUUGUGGCUAGUGCUUGGGGUUAUCCGAAAGAGCUCAAAGUAACUGAAUUAGGGCCAAAUUUCUUCCAAUUCGGAAUUCAUGGGGAGGAUAUUAGAGAAAGGAUAAUCAAUGGAGGGCCUUGGAUUUUAGAUAACCAGAUACUUGUGUUGAGUAGGUGGUAUGAGGGGAUUGAGGAUGAUCCUAAUGCUUUCAGUAUAGCACCACUUUGGGUUCAAAUGUGGAAUCUUCCUUUACAUUGCAUCUCCAAGGAGGUAGGGAAGAAAGUAAGUGCAGUGUUUAAGGAAGUUAGGGAAGUAGUUAUCCCACAGAAUGGAGGCAAAGAAGGAAAGCUUAUGAAGGUCCUGGUCAUGGCUGACAUAUUCCACCCUCUGCUUCGUGGAACAACAAUCAAAAUGAAUGGUCAAAAAAGAUGGAUUAAGUUCAAAUAUGAAAGGUGUCCUGACUUUUGCUACACAUGUGGGAUUAUAGGCUACAGUGAAAAGAGCUGUCAGUCGAAGAUACUAGCAGGAAAUGACCAGCAAGAGAAUCAGUAUGGACCAUGGAUGAGAGUACAAUUUGAAAAAUCAUCACCCCAAAAGGAGAAGAACUAUUACAAAUCUCCAUCUAAGAAGCAAUAUUGGGGGGUGGAAAACGGGGAACUGGUGAGGAAAGAAUCAAAGAGGCAGGAAGAGGAAUAUGAGUCCAUUACUCCAAGGGGUGAGGAAAUUCUGGAAGAAAGGAACAAGGGAACAAAUAAACCAAAGGAGAGAGUGGAACAUAUUCCAAGCAAGUUGAAUGUGGAACGACAGGUCCAGGAGUUGGCUAGCAAGGGAAAGAGAGUUGAAAACCAGGCAGAUAUGGACAAUGUGGAGGAAAUAACUUUGGAGAAAGUCCAGGCAGGAGCUCAACAAUCCAGUAGUAACAAGAUGAUGGAGCUGCUAAAAGAGAUGGAAAGAUGCAAAAAACCAGAAAUCCAAGGAAUUAAUGGAGAGGAUGAGGUAAUGAUGGACAGGGAGCUGCUAGUACCAGAGCAAAAAGCUGAUCUGAAUAUCCAAGAAGCUGGUAGCUACAGUACUGUGCAUGGUGAGGUACAAGGUAAACAAGAGGGCCAAAACAGCAAAGGCUCUCAAGUAGAAUAUCCUCAGAGACAAGAAAGGAAAACAAGGAAAACAGCAAGGAUAUCAAUGGGAAGGGGAAGGAAGGCUUUGCAGCAGAUGGACAGCAAUUGUAUGAGCCAAGUAGGAACGGCCAAAAGGAAAUUGGUUGUGGAAGAUGAAGAUAUGACAGAUUCUGAAGCUAGUGAACACAUCAUGAAAAAAAGCAAAGGGGGAGACCAAGUAAUGGAAAUAGAAGGUUUAAAGGAAGGGGUGGGUGCCAGCCUUCACUGGACCCCAAGUGAUCCAUGAAGGUUAUGGUGUGGAACUGCCAAGGUGCAGGGAGCCCCUUGACAGUUUCCCACUUGAAGGAGUACAAGUAUCUCCUCUCCCCAGAAGUGAUGUUUCUUUGUGAAACUAAGAACAGGAAACAAUAUAUGGAAAAGGUCCAGAGGAUCCUAAACUAUGAGCACAGCCAUAUAGUGGAAUCGAUGGACAAAGCAGGAGGUAUGGUCCUAUACUGGAGUGCACACAUUAAACUACUGCAGGUACAACACACGGCCUUCACUCUAGAGGCUCAUGUAGAGGACCAAAGCAGCAAUAGUGACUGGUGGAUAGUUGGGAUCUACGCCAGUUGUGAUGACUCAAUAAGGAAACAACAGUGGUCGGUCAUUCAGAGAAGGAAACAUUUAUGGGGUAAUAAAUGGAUAAUUAUAGGGGAUUUCAAUGACAUUUGCUCCAAUGAGGAAAAGUGGGGAGGAAGAUUAAGAGAAGAAUGGACUUUCACUGACUUCAGGAACUUUAUCCAUGAAAAUCAGCUGAUUGAUAUUGGCUAUGAAGGACAGCCUUGGACAUGGAGCAAUAAUUGGGAAGGGGAUGGUGAGAUUAAACAGAGGCUUGAUAGAACAUUGAGCAGUGUAGAAUGGAACCUGAAAUUUGGAAAGGCAAAAUGCACUCACCUGAAGUCCCAUGCGUCUGAUCACAGUGCUUUACUUUUGGAUACUAACCCCAUGGAAAGGAACAGGAAAAAAAGAUUCUUUUUUGACAAGAGGUGGCUUCAAAGAGAAGGGAUAAAUCAAGUUAUCAAGGAAGUUUGGGACAAGAAGGUAGAGGGGUCCAGGAUGUUUCAGGUUAAAACAAAAGUGAGGAACUGCAGAGUUGCCUUACUUAGAUGGAGCAACAAUAAUAACAGGAAUUCUAGGGAAAGGAUUGAGAGUAUAAAGGGAAAGCUGGAUCAGAUUCAAGGAUCUUCACUGGAAAGUAUCAGAAAGGAAAGGGCUUCGCUCAAGAUGCAAAUGAAGGAAGCUUACAGGGAUGAGGAAAUGUUUUGGAGCCAGAAAGCCAGACUCAAAUGGCUACAAGAAGGAGACAGGAAUACUCAAUUUUUCCAUGCACAGGUAAACAGUAGAAGGAAGGUAAACAGAAUGCAGAAACUACAAAAGGAUGAUGGGACGUGGACAGAAAAUGAGGAUGAUUUGGGAACUGAAAUUGGUAGCUACUACAGGCAACUCUUCACCAAAUCUAAUGAGAGUAGUAAUCAUGAGAUUAUAGAUAGAAUCCCAAAAUCCAUUUCUGAGGCUAUGAACCAGGACCUAACUAAGGUAGUAACAGAAGAGGAAAUCAAAUCUGCAAUCUUCUCUAUGGAUAGCAACAAGGCUCCUGGCAUAGAUGGGAUGUCCCCCCUUUUUUUCCAAAAAUUCUGGGAUAUAAUCAAAGGAGACCUGGUAAAUGCUGUUAAAAGUUUUUUUCAUUCUGACAAAAUGCUAAAGGCUAUUAAUCAUACCAUCAUUUCCUUGAUCCCAAAAGUCCCAUGUCCCAUUAACAUCAAGCAAUACAGACCCAUUAGCCUUUGUAGUGUGAUUUACAAAGUUAUUGCCAAGAUCCUAGUCAAUAGGCUCAAACCUAUUCUGCAUCAUUGCAUUAGCAUUAAUCAAUCUGCUUUCAUCCCUGGGAGACACAUUCUGGAUAACAUCAUCACCUCUCAUGAGUAUUUGCAUCAUCUCAAAAAUAAAAGAUAUGGUAAGGAUGCAUUUAUGGCUGUGAAGCUUGACAUGUCUAAGGCUUAUGACAGAGUUGAAUGGCAUUUUUUGCAAGAGAUAAUGGGAAAAAUGGGAUUCUGUGAGAAGUGGAUAAAUUGGAUAAUGAAGCACAUAAAUACGGUCUCCUUCUCCUUUAACAUCAAUGGAGAGUGUAAGGAAUACAUUGUACCUGAAAGAGGAUUAAGGCAAGGUGAUCCUCUGUCGCCUUAUUUAUUCCUCAUAUGCUCAGAAGGCUUCUCUAGUCUACUGAAGAAAGCAACGCAGACAAGAAGCAUGGCAGGCAUGAAGAUAAGCAGACAUGGCCCCUCUAUAACCCACCUCUUCUUCGCUGAUGACUCCCUGAUCUUUUGCAAAGCCAACUCUCAAGAAGCAAAGGAGCUAAAGAGGAUACUAGAGGUAUAUGAACAAGAAUCUUGGCAGAUGGUUAACUUAGACAAGUCCAGUGUGUUUUUUAGCAAAAAUGUGGAUGUGGCAACUAAGGAGGAAGUGUGUAGGGUACUAGGAGGGAUUAAACCAGUAUUGCAAGGGAAAUAUUUAGGGCUUCCUAUGGUGAUUUCAAGGUCUAAGGGACAGCUUUUUGGUUACAUAAAGGAUAACAUCAAAAGAAGAAUGCUAAGCUGGAAAAAUAAGCUUCUAAGUUCAGCUGGGAAAGAAAUUCUGAUCAAAGCUGUGGCAAUGGCAAUGCCUAAUUACACAAUGUCUUGUUUCAAACUACCUUGCAGGUUGUGCAAAGAGAUAAGCUCUAUGCUUUUCCAAUUUCUGGUGGGGAGAAAAAGACAAUAAGAAUAAGAUGCACUGGAUAGCUUGGAAGCAGAUGACAAGGGAGAAAAAACGAGGUGGUAUGGGAUUCCAGGACAUUCAAAGUUUCAAUAGAGCUCUGCUGGCUAAACAGAUCUGGAGAAUCAUCAGAAAUCCAAAUAUGUUAUCCAGCAGAGUUCUGAAGAGCAAGUAUUUCCCAAAUUGUAGUGUCUUGGAUUCCAGAACCCCCAACAAUGCUUCAUGGUUGUGGAAAAGCAUUAUGAGUGCAAGAGAAGAACUCCAAUGGGGAAUUCGAAAAAGGAUAGGGAAUGGCCUUUCUACCAGAAUCUGGGAUGAUCAAUGGAUCCCAAACCAACAUUUAGGGAGGCCAAUCACAACUAAGCCAGGAGACUGCAAAGUUCAAAAAGUUGCUGAUUUGAUUGAAGGCUACAGGUGGAACAGAAACCUCAUCUUCAAAAACUUCAAAAAGGAGGAUGCUGAAAACAUUCUCAAGAUUCCCAUAAGCAUCACAGGAAGAGAGGAUAAUAUCUUCUGGACAGGAAAUCAGAAAGGGGAAUAUACGGUGCAAUCAGGCUACAAGGCAAUCCAAGCUAAGAUUGAACAGGAGGGUAGAGGGGAAAGAGAAGGAAUUGAGGCUAGCAAUAGACCAAGGAGGACUGACAUGUGGAGAGUGCUGUGGAAACUAAAAAUCAGUCACAAAGUUAAGAUUUUCAUAUGGAAAGGCCUGAAAGAAGCAAUUCCAGUCAAGAAAUUAAUCUGGAGGAGAAUGUCUAAAGGAGACCCUAUAUGCUCAGGUUGUGGGGAGGAGCUAGAAACGUUGGAACAUCUUCUUCUGAAGUGCAAGAAAGCUAAGGAAGUCUGGAAAGCUGCACCAGUACAAUGGGAUGGGAUCCAGGAGCAGACUGGGAAUUUCAACAGAUGGUGGACUGCAUUAUCUGAAGCAAUUCAAAGAGAUCAAGGGAUAGACCAUAUAUCUCUCACAGCUUAUAUUCUGUGGCAUAUCUGGAAAAGUAGGAAUGAUAAAGAAUUUAACAACAAAACUCAUGAGCCAGGACAAGUAAUCACCACAGCUUGGAAUGCAUGGAUGGAGUUCAAUGAUGGGACCAAAAAGACUAGGAGAUGCAGUAUUGGUUCAACAACAGCUCCACUUCACAGGAAUGAACAAGAAGCGAGCCAAACUCCAGACAACAGAAUAACAGGAAUGCAGUUAAGAAUAGCUACCAAGUGGAACAAGGCAUCUAAGUCCAUUGGAUAUGGUAUUGUAGCAUCUGAUUGUAGAGGGCAGGAUGUGAUGGGAUGGAAAAUGAGAGAACGAGAAAGCUCAAACCAAGUUCAACAUGAAGCUGAAGGUGUUAAAUGGGCCCUGAUCAAAGCAGUAGAACAAGGAUGGAGGCUGGUAUGUAUUGGAGUUCCUAACAUGGACCUGCUGCAGCAAAUACAGGGAACAAAAACAGUUGGAUUGUGGUUAGCUACCCUAAUAGAGGACAUCCGUGAGCUAAGUAAAAUGUUUUACAAAUGCUCCUUUUGCAUAGGAAAAUAUAGCAGGAAUGAUCUAAGUUGUUUGUUCAGUGCUCAAGCUUUGAGCAAUUAUUUUGAUGUAGAAUGGGUUAAUCCCAAUCUAUAGUGCAAAAUGCACUUUGUAUAGCAUCGAGCUAGUCUCGCCUGUGUAUAAUUCUUUUCCAAUCAAUAUAUUCCGAUCGUUUCGACAAAAAAAAAAAAAAAAAAAAAGAGAAGAGGAAACUGUCAAAGUUUAAAAAAAAAAAAAAAAAACUAUGACGAACAACAUCCUAACACUUUAACAAACCAAGACUUGCUGUUCUUUCAGAAUUCAAUACAGAUAAAUUUAGAUAUGCCAAAAAAUCAAAGACCUUGGAGAAGUUUGGACUAGGGCUGCAAACGAGCCGAGUCGAGUCGAGAUUUGAGCUAAUCGAGCCGAGUCUCGAUUAAAUUUUACCAAGCUCGAGCUCGAGCUCGAGCUCGACGAGCUGGCAAUUUUCGAGCUCGAGCUCGACUCGAAUCAAGUCGAGCCGAGCUCGAGCUCGAGCUCGAGCUCGAAAAAAAUAAAAAAAAAUUAUUUUAUUUUUAAAAAAAUAAAAAAAAUAAUAUUUUUUUCUGAAUAAAUAAUAAAAUAUUAAGGAUAUAUAGGUAAUUUCACUAUGAAAAUAAAAAAUUAAAAUAUAUUUAUAUAUAAUAUACGUAAUUUUAUUAUUAAAUAAAAAUAAAAAAUAUAUAUAAAUAUAUAUACUCAAACUCGCGAGCCGGCUCGCGAGCUAACGAGCUUAAUAUUCUGAGCUCGAGUUCGAGCUCGAAUUUGACUCGAGCUGGCUCGAGCUCGACUCGAGCUCGACUCGAGCCGCUCGCGAGCGGCUCGAUACGUUUGCAGCCCUAGUUUGAACCAUUGAGUUUAGCUUUGAUCGAAUUAAUUGACACAAAUAAUUUUACGAAUGCAUGUUUAACUAAACUAAUUAACACAUGCCUUCAAUAACAUCAUUUGGCAGCACCAAUGACAUCCUCAGAUGGUCUUGAUGAAUCCCUCUUGUUCACCUGCAGUCGAAGCAAGGGGAACUGUCAAAUUGUCAUCAAGUUUUGUGAUGAUAAGGAUGAGAUUCCACUAAUCCAGCAACAAGAGACACUACAAAGAAUUUUUAUACCAUUUUCCAGCUUUCUUGAAGGUACCCAAAUAUCGAGAAAUAGUGCAUGUACCUGUUGCGCAACGAUUUUUGUCAGGGAACUGUGCAUCAAGUUUUGAUAUUUGGUAUCAAGACAAAGCAGGAAUUACCAGAUGGAUGCUAAGAAACUAGCUGCUACCAUUGAAAAAGUUCCAGCAACGGAUUUGUUUCUGUUGUAUGGUAAUUCCAGGCUCCCGAAAAGCCUCCCCACAAUAGGAGCUAUACCUGGAGCAGGAUAAGAAUACAAAAUCCAAAUACUCCUGAGUCCUGAUUGCUGUAUGAAAAGUUUGAAACAUAACAAGGUAGACACUGGUUCUUGUUUUUAUUUUAUGGGGAAAAAAACAAGAAAUAAGAAAAAAGCAUACAAGCGAGAAACAAUUGAUUUGACUUGAUAAUGUAGUUAAAGAAAAUGAGAAUGGAUCAAAGAAUAGUACCAUCUCCAGCACAAAGGUUGCAUACUGCUGCAACAGCCACCGGAGAAGUUCUCCAAUAAACAACACUGGCUAAGGAGAUUGCGGUAAGGUAAUAAAAUGAUGCCUUGAGAAUUUGCCUGAAUGAAACAAUUAGCCAAGCUCAGUUUAUGAAGCCAUUGAAAGAUGUAUUCAAUCAUUAAGCAAUUGAUCAAGAAGACAAUAUGGAAAUUUUGUGCUGCUACCAUUUAUUUUUUAUUGCCUUUUAACAGUUGAUAUAUUUUACUUGAAAUAAAUAUAUCAAAGUUAAAAACAUUCAAUACACUUUAAUCAAAGUUUACAAUAACUAUCUUUUGUACUUUUUCAAAGUUGAAAAGUAAAAAUGAAAUUUUAAUCUUCUCAAAGCAAAUAAUUAUUUGACUUGGUUGAUCAAACCUGUAAACCUAGGAACCAGCUAGCCAACGGGCAAGUUUGAUAAGUUGGUUUACAAAUAUUGAAGAAAAGUUCAACUACACUUUUUGCAGUCGAAGUUGACAAGAAUCAUGUUUAUAUGUAGGAGCAUUUUGUAAAUCCUAAUGGUUAGAGUUGCAUAGUUUUCAAGCCUUGGAACCUCCACACAACAUUCAAAGCCUGUUAAAUCAGGAAAAUACUGAUUGAACACAUUAUUGUGUUUAUCGUUGUGAUAGAGUUGAUUAAGCCAACAUUGAAAUGUGUUUGGAUCAAAUUCAGUUUUCUCUUAAUUUGUUACUAUAGAAUUAUAUCGCAUAAUUUAUAUGACUUUUCCUGAUGUUGAUUACAUUAUCAAUGUUUAAUUGUUAUAUGUACCCACAAACUAUCACUAGUGCUUUUUAUUUUUAGCUUUCGAUUGUAGCAUUAAAGUAUCUUACACCAUCAGUAUUGGUUAUUUCAAAUCUAACAAAUUUGAUAGAUAUUUUUUGCUUAAACAGACAUAGUACUCAUAAAUGAAUAAAAGUACUUCGAUAAACAAAAGCAAAUUAGAUGUGAUGCAGGGGGAAAGAGAUGGAUUAGAUGGUUCGGAAAGAGAGAGUGUAAAUAAAAGAUUUAGAUUCGAGCCCUCCCAUAUACACUAUUAAAAAAAAAAUAGAUGUGUUAUAGUCGUUGCAUUAAAAAACACUUAGAAAAUUAAAAUUGGCUUCAACUUAUCGAUCUGGACAAUGACGUGCCAUGAAUUGAUAAUUUAGAGAGAAAAUUGCAUGGUUUAAAGGUGCAUAUUGCAAUUAGCCCUAACAUUCAACCUGUCUUUUAUAUGGCUGUUAUGAAAUGCUGCAGAAAACUACACUAAAGGCUGUUAACCACGAUGUAUAUAGUCUUCAUGGGAAAAUUAUUAAAUCAACUUGUCAAAAGUAAAUCGGCAACCAGAAGGGAAAUAAGAUCCUUCAAACCCCAACUCCUCCAGUAAAAAUUAUCUAAUGGGUGUGCUAAUGUACCCGUCUGGUAUAGAUGGGCCUUCUCUGUAGUCCAUUAUAUAAUUUAAUUGGAUUCCCCAUCUACCUAGAGUAGAAUGGAAUAGAUGUUGAGUGUGGGAUUAGAAAAUUAAUGUCCUUUACGUAACCUGGUUUAGUGUUCUAAUACAUUUUAUUAAGGUGCCAGAACCUGUAGUGAUCUCCCAAUCCGCUCAUCAACUUAACAGCCUUCUCAUCUUUCGGCAUUUCGAGCCCCAAAAGAAGCAAUUUAAAAACAUUGAAACCAGGAACCAUAGCUGCUAAAAACCCUCCUUGAUUACCAGAACUGUCAAAAAUCAUAAUAAAUUAAAUUAAAAACGCCAUUUCUAUUCUCAAGCAAAUAAGAGUGGCCUCUUUUUUUUUUUCCCUCUACUUUGUUAGUACGUAAAUUUAAAUUACCUGAACACUGGCCAGCAAAGCAUGAAAACUAGCCCCAUGCUAAUAUGCAGAAGCUUCCCGUAAGUAUUCUAGAAAGGAAAAUUCCAAAGAAUAAUGAGAAAACAUAUCGUCUUGACACAAAAGAAAUUUCCUUGCUCUUUUCUCUUUUUCUCAAUGCAAAAGUAGUGCUUUAAAAUGGCCCUUUCUUUAUAAACUUUUGAUACAUUAUAACCUUUUAAUCAGUUUAAAUGUCUUUAAUGUUCAAUGAUUGAAAGUGUGGCAUGGAUUCUCGUUUGUGAACAAGGCUUAGAUUCUUGCCAUUUCAAUUCCUCCUCCUUCGCAACUAUUUUUCAAAAAUUAAAAAUAAAAUGAUUGCAAUGCCCUGCGUACCUGAUCAAGAAGCCCCCUAUUGUAAAUCAUUGUCCAGAAGGGAGUGGUAUAGAGGAGAAUACAACGGGUCAAUGCAGUAGCAACAACAUCUCCAAGAAUUGGGUGCUCUCUAAACAUCUUGAAAGCCACCAUGGCUGUGCUCAUAUUCAUGGAAAUUCUUGGACGUCUUUGAUAUAUUCAUGAAAGCAUAGCUGAAUUUAUAACAGACACGUACCGGGCGAAGUAGAGAGUUGGCCAUAUGAGCAGGGAAGUUGAGGUUGAGUACUUUGGUGGCCGCCCCAUGUGAGUGGAGAGUUGACCGUACGCUUAUUCUUUUUUUUUUUUUUUUUUUAAUGAAAAACCCUACAAAUUAAAAGGCAAUGGCUGCCUAAAAAUUGUUGAGUUCCUCUACUUUUUUCCGAAAUCAUGAAAAUUAGAAGAAUGAUUGAGUCAAUGAUUCAAAGAAAAUAUACUAGGGAGGACAGUUCAAUUGGGUGGUAAGAUAAAAGGGGUUGUAAGUAAGAGUCAAGUUAGGACCUCCACCUACUAAAAAAUAGGUUCAAAAAAAGAAAAGAAAAUAUACAAUUAGCUUCUAGUUUGGAAACCUUUCCUCAGAAUUCUCAUAAUACACCUAGACCCCUGAGAUUUCCAAAAUCUUACCUAUUUCCCUGGUUAGUUUGAUAAGAGAACAUGGCCCAAUUAAAGGUUACAAAUUGACAAUAGUAUACUUGCAAUCUUAAUUAGCUAAUUAACCAUAAAGCCCAAAUAUUUUCAACCGAAAUAUCUAAUAUUAUGAAAGUCAAAUUGACACUCUUAUCAUAUUAUAAAAAUUAGAGAUUUAUCAUACUUUAGAAGAUGUAGAUCCAUAUAUUUUAACACUAAACCGACCAAUUCCAAAAAUAUUUUUUUUAGCAAAUAUACUUUAAAUUGUUUUCAAAACAAAAUAAUCUUUUGAUACAUGUAGUUUGCAUAUAGCCUACACUUAUGAAAAAAAAAGAAAGUUAUAACUCACUCAAUAUUAAAAAGAUUAAUCUACAAAUAAUCUCUCAGAAAAACAUUUAGAAACUACCUAUACUAUCGAUUGGCUUAUGUAUCCUAGUGCCCCCGGAGCUCAACCCAGCCCUCUGUUUUUCUUUUUAUUUUUUUAAAAACCAUGCAGGUUUUGUGUGGUAGUUGAACAGACUUGAACUUUGAAGUAUUAUGGCCCUCAUCAAUGGUGUGUACAAUUGUGAAUUUUAAUGACGAAAUUUGUGGUAAUUGAGCAAAUUACUUUAGUUUAUAAAGUUGGAGGUAAAUCAUUUUUAUCGUCAAACCUAAUUUUAUUUGCAAAAGAGUUAUUUGAUAUCGCCUUAUAAGAUUUUCUCCAGGAGGCAGUACAAUUCGCAUUACCAGGCUGUAAAAUCGUGACUUUCAGCAAUACAAAUCUAAAUCCAUUGGUAUAUUUAUUUCCUCUCACAAAGAUAAAUUCUUGAAACAAAGAAAAUUGUUUCAUGGUAAUUAUGAAGUAGAUAUACAACCUCCCAUCAAAAAAGGUGGGAAACACUUCUAUGCUUUUACCAUCACAAAUAACAAUAAUAUUCGUAAAAUCAAAAUAGCAUAAACUCAUUCCAACAUCUUUUGCUUUGUACUUUUAUUUGGGGUGGUAAGGUGCAAAAUUCCACAUUUGAAUAGAUACGUUUUUUAAUUUUUAUUUGCAUAAGCAAAGCAACAUCCCAUAAACAUAAAUAUAAAUAUAAAGCACUAAUAUGAAAUAGAAACAUGAUAAACGAAAAAGGGAAGUGGAAAAAACAAUUGCAGGUAACAGCGUAAGUAUUCUCGUGAUAAAAAAAGCCAUAAAAUACAUGGAAUAAUUAGUUUUCUGUUAGAAAAAUCCACUAUUAAAAUGCAAGUGAUUCUCAUGAUAUAUAUAUAUAUAUAUACACACACGCACACAUAUAUAUAUAGUUAGGAUAUUUUUAGUCUAUCAUUAUAGAGAAGAAGGACAUAUUGUUAAUUAGUUUCCACAGAAUAAUGUCCACAUGCAAUAAGGGUCUUUUUGUUUAUGUGCUUGUGUGCGUUUUGUCCAGGUUGGUAGAGGGAAAGAGAGAAGAUAGGUCAGUUGCCAAAAUCGUUGAUGAAGAUUGUGGAACACUAAAGAAGUUAUUAAGUUAUUCUAUUUUUUUAAAGGAUUUAUUACUGCACUUAAAUCAUAUUCAACCUGGUCUACCAUGUGUAUGUAUUAUAAUUGCUAACAAUUAUUGUCUAUAAACCUUUUCUGUAUAACUUUACCUUUUCAUAAUAUUAAUACAUGAACCCCAACAUAGUCGAGCACUCUUUAGACAGAUCCUAUGUUAUUUUCUUAUUUGGUAUAUCCCUACAUUAAUUUUUUCCAAUUGGUAUAUUAUCAUUGAAUGUAUUGCAUUUUGAAAAUCACCUACGCGUGCAAAACUGAGAUCCUGCCAUCUCUAAUUGGGCCAAAAUUUCCUAAUUGGUGAGAUCGCAUUAAUUGCAAUGUCCUAAACGACCUUGGCGGGGUCAUGGUAAUGCAAAUGAGAAUAAUAGAAAAUAAAAAAUAAAUAAAUAGAAGAAUGGGUAUAAUGGCAAGAAAAUGAUAAAAAAAAAGGGAUCUAAAAUAAGAAAAAUGCAUGAAAAUAUCAUGAACAUAGGUGAUGGAUGAAACUUGCGCAAAAAGUGCCUAAUUGACUAGCGUUGGAUUUUUCUCUUCUAAACUACGUUGCUAGCGUUGGACUAGCAAGGAAAAACAAGAAGUGUCCACAACUAGCGUUUAUCUAAUCUUGGAGGCACAUGACAUGCAUCUUUGCAUUGGACAAGAGCAUUAGACGAGAAUGAGAGAUGGUAAAACAAAAUUCCAAAAGUUGUUUUAGCAAACAAUUGAAACUUUGGUUUGACAUAGAAUUCACAGCUGUAGAAAGAGGACUAAUCCUCAGAUUACAUCCUGAGAUGCAAAACAAAACAGAAAAACACCUACUGAAUACUCGAAGCUUAAAUACACGAAAACACAACAAAACUACUAUUGCUUCUCGAGGCACUCUGGACAACAACAGCAGCCUACCAAAUUGAAAGAUAACAGAGUACCAACGUUAAUAAAUUUUCUCUAGAGAAGUGCCAAUUUCAAAAAAAAAAAAUUAAAGUUCAAGAUUUAUAACAGUCUAGUCUGAAAUACACAAAUUGUCAAAUCUUUACUCCUUGCAGUGGUGGAGGAGGUAGAAAACUAAUCUAGUAUGGAACUGUUCUAAAGCAUAUAAAACUAUUGAUGGACAUUAGAUCAAUGAGCUAUUAUCUUUGUAAUCAGGUGUAAAUCAAAAAAUUCAAUAAAAUUCAUAACAUGGAAUUUAAUGAAACAUAGGAAACAAAAUGUAAAUAUGAAUAAUAGAAGAGAAUUAUUAGAAUUCAAAAUUUUGAGACAGUUGAAACAAUUGCCAAUAGAAAGGUAGAACCUAGAUAAAGCACAAAAAGUUUUGUUAUCAAGUUUUUUGGGAUCGAAAAUUUCAAAAGUUAAGGAAAUGAAAAUUUUGGUCUCCAAUCAUGUAAUAGGUUAUUGGGAAAAAAAAUUUCUUUGAAAGCUACCAAUUUGAUGUUAGAAUCUUGUUGUUAAGCUAUUCGGUAUCAGGCAUCUACUACUUUAUACUCCUAUCUAUUAAAAUUGGUAUGUUAUUCUUUUGUUGAUUUAACUUAUUAAGAUUCUUUGUUUGAAAAAAAAAACUUAUGGAGCUAUAAUUUUCUUAUAUUGGACAAACGCAUAAAAUAAAUCCUUAGAAAUAUUUGGAAAAACAAAUUACAAAUCACAAUAGGUUGCAAAUUAUGAAUGUUAAGUUCUAAUUAGUUCUCUACGAUCAGCCUAUAAAAGUAAAAAGAAUAAGAUAGAUGAAGGAAUGUCUACAAAAAUGUGAAAUUUUCAAAGAGCAAAUUAUCAAAGAUAGUAUGCUACGGAUAUUGUGGCUCCUUAGUGUGUGAUAUGAAAAACAGAGUAUAAGUGUUUUUAUAGGAACUUACUCAACGGAAAUUCCUCCUCAGGCGAGUAGUCUUUACCCAGAUUUUGUCACAAGCACUUUCUAUAAACUUGAAGUAUGCAUAGCGCCAUGACUUCUUGAAGAGAAGUAUUCCCAGAACUCCCGACAGCCCGGCAGCAAAACCCGGUCCUAUUCCAGCAUAAAACCAAGACCAAUCAGAUUCGCUGUGGCCUUCACCAUCAUCAAUAGGCCCAUUUUUGGUAGGCGAUUUGUGUUCCGAGCAGUUGUUUGGGAGCGGUUUGCCACAGAGUCCACUGUUUCCUUCAUAGAUGGAUGGAUCGGUCAAGGUUUGAAGCUGAUUUCCUGAUGGUAUUGGCCCUGAAAGUUUAUUGUAUGACAAAUUCAGAGAGUUCAAUGAGUACAAAUCAGAUAAGCUUUCAGGGAUUGCACCGAAGAGUGCAUUCAUUGAUAGAUCAAGUGUUUCAAGUUGCUUCAAGUUGCCAAUCUUCUUGGGGAUCCUUCCAGUCAAAUGAUUUUGUGAAAGAUUCAAAACUUGCAAUUGAACCAGUUCCAUUAUCCCAUCAGGGAUCUCGCCAACUAAAUUAUUUGCUGAGAGGCUUAUGGAUUUAACAAACCCAAGGCUACUCGCGUAAUACUCAGAUUCUCUUCCUCCCUUAAUGUCUUGAAGGCUUUCUCGUGGAUCAAUGCCGUAAUCUCCAUCUAGCCCUGAUACCAUUAAGGCAGUAAUGUUGUUAAAGCAGUGAGGAAUAAAUCCACUCAAGUUAUUAUGUCCUAAGUUUAGCAAUUGAAGAAGUGAGAGUUGGCAGAGUGUAUCGGAAAUAGGUCCAUGGAAGUUAUUUGACUGGAAUCUUAGAAACCUUAAAUUUGAUAACCUUUCCCCAAUCCAAGCUGGUAUAAUAUCCUUCAAUCCAUUGUCACCGAGAUCAAGAAUUUCCAAAUUUCUCAGAUGCUGCAUUGAGGUAGGGAGCUUCCCAACGAAUUUAUUUCCAUUCAAAUGCAGAGUAGAAAGUUGCCACAAGUUACCCAAUGAACUCUGGAAUUUGACCGGAUAGACUGUUAUUUGCCAAGUUUAGGAUCCGCAGGUCUCGCAAGUUUCCUAGACACAGAGGAACACUUCCGGACAGAAGAUUGUUGGAUAGAUCCAAUUCUGAUAAAUUUUCCGACUUGCACAAGUCUUCAGGGAUAGUACCUGUGAAACGGUUAUCAUUUAGUAAGAGAGACCGAAGUACAACCGAAGUUUGACCAACUUCAAGCUGCGGAAUAUGUCCAGUAAGAAAAUUGUGUGAAAGAUCUAAAUAGGAAAUAUCCAACGGAAACGAUUUGAGAGAUCCGUCCAAUUUGUUGGAGCUUAGAAAUAUUUCUCGAUAAGGAUAGUCAACGGAAACUAUUUGACUAUUUCUCGAUCCAUUCAAUUGUUUGAAUUCCGAAGGAUUUCCAGUUAGACUGUUGCUGGAGAGAUCUAAUGACAUAAUAUCAUCAUAAUGAAACCAGCUGGGUAUGGCAUCUGAAAUGCUAGCAUUCUGCAUGAUUAACUCCACAACUUCAUUCUGCGUCCGAAGCCAAGCUGGAAACCUAGGUCCCACAAUGAUGGAUCCCAUCAGAAUUCGUUGGAGUUGAAAUGGAGGAACCCACGAGGAGCUCACGUUCAGAGCGAGUGAGUUUCUAGUUAGGUCCAGUGACUUUAGCUCUCGGAGUUUCGCAAAAUGGUCUUCAGACAGGACACCAGUUAAUGAAUUGUCACCAACGUCAAAUGCUUGUAGCUUCGUCAGCUGCCCAAGAUUGGUCGGUAUGGUACCAUUUAAGCUGUUAUCAGACAAUAAUAGGUAGGUUAGUUUUGGAAGUUGGCCUAUUUCAUUUGGUAUUGACCCUUGCAAAUUAUUAACACUCAGAUCCAAAUAAGUAAGACUGCUUAUGUUACAAAGUGAUUUCAACGUUGAAACAUCAAAACGGUUUGAAGAUAGAUCAAAAUGAACUAGAGAGGUCAUUUGGUCAAACAGGCCACGAAUUGGAUUAGAUAGAUUAUUAUCACCAAGACGAAGAUCAUGGAGGCCAGUAAGAUUAUCACCAACGAAUUGGCUGUAAGGUUCAAUCCGAAUAGGACCAGGUCUUCUAGAGAAGAGAGUCCAGCAACCCACCCGAGAUCCUUAGUCCUCAACCCAUUCAACCCAAGAUCUCCAAGAUCCAAAUACCGUAAAUGUGAGAGGUUUCCUAAAUGGUGGGGAAUUUCACCAUCAAAUCCUGCACGUGAGAGAUUGAGGUAUCUCAAGUUUUUCAACAAUCCAAAGAAUGCGGGAACUUGGAUUCCUGAAAAAUUAUUCCAGCUCAAGUCCAAGUAUUGCAAAUUGGUCAAGUUGACCAAACUUGGACUUAAAUGGCCUCCCAAGCAAUUUUUGCAAUGAAAAUCAUCAGAAAAUGCUACCUUGUUGCAUAGAUCAAGUUUCAAAACACUACCAGUGAUUUUAUGGCAACUAAUGCCUUCCCAUGAACAACACCCUUCUCCAAUCCAAGAUAACAGACGAUUUGAUUCAUCUUUCAACUCAUGUUUGAGUUGAAGAAGGGCACGUCGUUCACUUUCAAUACAGGUGACAUUUGAAUGAUCAUAAGCUUGCUUGCUGCUACCAAAUGGGAACUGGCUAGUGAUAGGAAUAGAACUGAAUAAGAAGAGAAGUAGGAAAGAUGAAAAAGUACAAAGAAUAUGAUGCUCCAUUGGAUUUCUUUGGUAUCGUUGGUUUAUUCGAUAUAGUAAGCCAGAUGGGUGGCCUCAUUUAUACGCUUUAAAAGGCAUCACUUCACCGUUCUGUGUUUGUAGGAAGUAGGAUGGAAAUAUAAAAUGACGACAAAUUUGUGGAAUGCGGUGGAGGAGAAAGAGCACACGGGAUCCUCAGUGCCACUUUUCCAGUGACAAUUCAAUGCCACUUCUAUAUUUAUAACAAGUGUCAUGUUUAUUUAAUUUGUCAUGCGCUAUUUAUUUAAAUAUCUUCUACUAUCACGUGAUAAGUGGGAUUGGCACUGGAUUUGGCACCGAAUAGUGGCAUAGAAGAUCUCAACUGUAGAAAAAGAGCGUGGAAAAUCUUUGCGUGCUUGUGGGGAAAAUCCUUGGUGACACCGUGACAUACAAAUGGAAAUAUUAAUUCAUUUUGAUUUGGAAAAUAAUUCAAGUUAUAUUUAGUUGUAAAAAUUAGUAUCCUGGAAAUUAGUUUUAAAUUUUGAAAUUUCAAGUUUUGUGAACUUUUGUGUGAAAAACAAUAUACACGAGCAGUUAUUUUUGUUAGUUACCGUUAAUUGUAUGCAUUAGCAAUACAACUCCAAGUUCUGCACAAAACGAAAAAAAGUAAUUUUUUGAAUAUGGUUAUGCCAUUUUAUCCCUUAGUGUAAGAAUGAAAAUGGUAAUGUAAAAGAUGACAAAAAAUUUUAACACUACAACUCCACCUCACCUUUUGUUUUAUAGUUGGACAUGUGAGAAUGUUUGAGAUAAUAUCAUCAAAAAUCAAAAAAAAAUUCAGCGUUCGACUAUUUAUUUAUUUGGUAAGAAAUAUCCAGAUCUUGAUGGUUUAUGCAACCUAUAAGAUAAGGAACUGAACCAUUUUCUUUUAUGACAUGGGGGACAGAAUUAGUUUUUUUUUUUUUUUGGGAAGAAUUGAUAGUUAUAUUAGUCACAACUCUAUGCAUGACUAAGUGGCAAUUAUCCCUCAAACAAACAAGUUCAUAACUUCGCUUAUAUGUUAUAUGGUUUAGUUUCUAGAUUAUAAUCACACCUCUCUCAGUUUGUGUCCAUUUUAAUUAGAUGAUUAGGAAUAUUUACCAGUGGAAAAAGCGAAAACACAAUAUUUUUUAAUAUCUGAAUUCUAACAUCGGCAACAUGUAUAAGCAGGUCCCCCAAAAAAAAUUACUGAAAAGAUGAGAGUUGCACACUUUAUUCCAUUAUAAUAUUCCCCUAAUAAAAAUGCUUUUGUAUGGUAUAACUCCAAUGUAGUAGCACAAAUGACACACAGCCAAAUCCCAGGAAAAAAAAAGGAAUUCUUGUCAUUGUAAUUUCUUUUUUUUUUUUGGUUGGGCAAAAUCACCUCAUUUUAUUGAUCAUCAGAAAGAAAGCUAUACAUAGAAGCAUAAGCUCCUAAUACAUGAGAACUGUGCCCUAUGGUAUUUAGAAUAUUUAUACAAAUGAUUAAUAUCUAACAUUGUGAAAAUUUUUAUUCCUACUAUUGCUCAGUUUUUAUUAAACUUCGAGUCAGCAUCUGAUCUAAUCGAAUUUGGCUGAUGAAAAGAAAGUAAUUGGCUAGAAACAUUAGUGGAGUAGUACCAAUUAAAGAAAUGCCCCCAUUGGAUAUUUUUUUGGGUACAUAUAUAGGCUUGUCUGAUAUAGCAGCCAAUAGCUUCAUUUGCGAUUGUGACGUAGAAAAUGCACGAUGACUUGAAGUUUUCAUGGAAGUCAAGCACUGACCCCUAAAUGAUGCCUCCCUGGCCCUCCAUCAUUAUCGUAGGUGUAAAUGUUAACACAAAAUAUGUAGAUAAUAUAAUAUAAGUAAAUUCUAUGUACACUGAUGAUAUAUACACUAUCACGAUUGAAUAUACGACACGCAUGUAAAAUUUGAAUUUCAAAUUUAAAUUCACCUUAUAUGUCAUACAUCUAAUGGUGAAAAUGUAUAUGCCAUCGGUGUAUAGAAAAUUAAUCCAUAUAAUAAUAACAUGUGAAAACAUAAUAAAUUUAUCACUCUGUUAAAAUAUGUAUCAUACUUUCAAUCUAACUGUACUUUGCAUUCACCACUACAUAUAAUUAAAUAGAAACUAAAUCCCUUAAGUAGCAAUAUAAAGUAGUUGGGUAUUUAAUAUUACAAAAGGCCAUUAUCUGAAAAGAAAUAAUUGCAAGUUUGUUGGAAUAGGCAAUCCAAGAAUCAGUCAAGGAAAUUGAUUCAAUAUCCAAGAAUCAGUCAAGCAAAAAUUUAAUGGCAUAAAUGGACGCCGCUUUGAUUGAUACAUAAUUAGCUUCAAAAAUUGACUUAAGCUGAUGAUAUAUUAGCAUUAUCAUCCAAUCUGCGUCUCAAAUUUAUUUGUGGUGAAAAUUAAACAAAGAAAAAUCCAGUAAAACCAUCGUGUUUAAUGGGAAUUUAAUUGGAUCAAUUAAAACUUGACCUUUAUAUCCCACGUAGAUAAGCCAUCAAGAGUCUCAUCUUCAACAACAUAAUUGUAUUACUAGGUCUAUGUAGGGAUGGCAACGGGGCGGGGUUGGGGCGGUGGACCCCUCCCCCAUCCCCCGCCCCGCUUCCCCCGCGGGACUAAUAAAAAUUUGUUAUAUAAUUUUAUUAUGGUUAAAUUUUAGCAAAUAAUCAAGUACUAAAAUAUUAACACAUCAUCAAAUUAUUAUUCAUUAUAAUUUUACAAUUAAAACUUAUAAAAACAAUCAAACAAAAAAUAUUUGAAUACAAUCCAACAUGAUGAAAUAAAUAUAACUAAAGUAGUCAAGUUUUUACUUUUGACACAAAUACAAUCACUAAUUCAAUAUUAUUGUAUUCAGUGUAAUUAGGGAUUUAGUAUAAAUGUAUUAGUAAAUUUAGUAUAACCAAUUAAUAAUUUGUAUUAGUACACAUAUAUAAUUAUUAGUAUAAUCAAUAAUAUCAAUUAUAUUAUAUAUACUAAUAGACAUUAUAUAAUACAUAUAACUAAUAAUAUCAUUAUCAUAAGUUUGUAACUAAUUAAAUUAUAUAUUAUAUUUAUUUUUUUAAAGCGGGUGGCGGAGCAGGGGAUGGGGCGGGGGUACACUCCCUCGCCCCCCGCCCCGUUUCUAAGCGAGGGGAAAAAAUAUUCCCCCUGCCCCCCGCCCCAACCCCCUCCCCAUUAACUCCCAGCGGGGCGGGUGCGGUCACCCGCCCCCAUUGCCAUCCCUAGGUCUAUGUUAAAGAAGCAAGUAAAUAAGGUUUCAAUGAGAUGAGAACAACAAAAUCUAAAGCACGAAGGACACUAGGCUGCAUUUCAUGUUGGAUAGUUACAAAAAAAAAGGUGCACAUUUAUCAAAAAAGUUUUGUAUAGAUUUUGAAUUUUUCUGUUAAUGUAAUUGUUCAUUAUCAAAAUUUGAUCUUUCAAAAGUUUAUAUAGUUGAAUAAAAGGUCUGAGCACUCAAAAGCAUUUAUACCUAAAGUGAAUUAUAUGUAGUGCGAGAAACAGCUUAAUUGGAUGACCUCCAUUAGUUUUUCCUGAAGGGCAUAGAACUCCCUUUUUUUUUUUUUUUUUUUUUUUGUCUUCCUUGAGCUAAUCUAUAUUUCUUUCUCCUAGGAAGACAUUCUUUGACAUUAAUGUGGCAUUAUAAAGUUCUUCAUAAGUAAAGCAUUUUAGUUGCUUUUAAAUUAUAAAGAAGAUGAAGCUCAAAAAAAAAAAGAAUAGACCAACAAACUAGCAUGCAAAUAUCAAACCAAGAAAAACAAAGAAAAAUUCCUAAAUGCAUAGCCUCCAAGAUCAAGACGUCCACAUAUAGCGUUUCGAAAGGGGGUUAGAAUAGUCGGUUUGGUGGUCCAAUACUUUCACUUAUUGUAGUGUGAUCUGCAAUAUAUGGGUCAUUUUAGAAGGAAAACAACUCCUAGCAUCAAGCCACCAAAUUCUUGGGCAAAAUUCUAUCCAAAAAGUCAAUCCAUGUCUGGUUGACAGCAAAAAUUCCUAAUGACGUAUCAGUUGUAUACAUGUAGUUUAGGGAAAAGUCUCCAAUUGGGUGAAGAUUCUCUGCAAUUGCAUCUAAUUCAUGGAAGUUAACCACAAGACUUUGAAAAGUUUACAAGCAUAAAUGGACGCUGUUUCGAUGGAUACAUAAUUAUAAAUGAGUGGCUGAUAUGAUGCGACGUAUAGGUUUUAUCCUGCUAUCGCAGGUUACACUUGGGACAAAAUUGUGAUAGUAAAAUUUGGUAUAGCUAAUAGUAAGUUUUUGCUCAAAACAAAUAACUUUUAUUUAUUAUUAUAAUGUAACUUGCUAUUUAAAUAUCAAAUCUUACUAGAUUUUUCAGCAAAAAUUACCAUUUUUUCCCCCAAAACUUAGCACUUUUAAUAUAAAACUUCAAGAAAAACUUAUGACUUCAUUAACAAAUCUUACCAUUUUUUUAGCAGAUUUUACUAUAUCAUUAACAAAACCUUUUUAUUUUUCAAACAAAACUUCCUAUUUUUUGUACAAAAGUUGCUACUUUUGCAAACAAAAUUUAUGACUUUGCUAAUAAAUUUUAACAUUUUUUCAUGUACAAUAUGCCAGUAAAGAUCUGAAUAAUGAUAAGAUUGGUUACUGCUGCCAAAUGAGAAUUGGCUGGAGACUCGAAUAAAGCUGAAUAAGAACAGUAGCAGUAAAGAUGAAGAAAUUCCGAGAAGAUGCCCCGUUGGACGUUUUUGGGUACUGAUAUUUGAGUGGUUCAUCUAUACUAGUUGACGAGCAUCAACCACGGCUCUAAAUGCUAGCAGAAAUUGCUGAUAACAAUAAUGACUGCCUAAAAGUCUUCGUGGAAAGUUGACAACUCAAUUAAUGGCUGGUUGUAUUAGUCAGUCUCCAACAAUCAACCAACCAUAAAUUGAUGACUACCAAAAUCCAAUCAAUCUACCUUUUGUUUAAUACAUUGAAUGAUAAGUUAAGAAUUAACCUUACAUAAAUUGAUAAUUUAUAUAUUAAUAAGUAUCGAUGCAUACUACCUAAUUUGAUUCGAAUUCGAACUUCAAUUCUUGUGUACGUAAUUUGCAUCCAUACCUGCUAAUGUAUAAACUGAUAGUGUAUACAAGAUUACUUAUAUAUAUAUAUAUAUAUAUAUAUAUAACAAUCCAUAGAUUUUGUAGAUUUUGUUAAGCAAAAUGAUCUUUAGAUUGUUCUUCAGAGGAUUAAAGAUAAUAAGUUUUCUUUGGUUCAUGAGAAUACUUCAGAAUAAUUGUGUGCAUCUAUAUUUCUUUCUCUGGUGAUGAAACAUGAAAACAUUCUUCAACACAUUCAAUGAGACUUCAUCACCCUUUGCAUAAGCAUCACUUCACAAUUCUAUGUUUGUAGGAAGUAGGAAGGAACCAUGCAAAGGUAAUAAAGGACGAGGACUUCAAGUCUUCCUGGAAAAAAUUUUGUUAAGGAGGUGGAGGGGAAAGACAGCGUGGAAAAUUAGUUUCCUGGAUUUUAGUUUUACAUUUUGAAAAUUCAUGCUUUAUGAACUUUUGUGUGAAAAACAAUAUACACGAGCAGUUAUUUUUGUUAGUUACCGUUAAUUGUAAGCAUUAGCAAUACAACUAAAAAUUCCGCAUAAAACGAGAAAAAGUAAUUUUUUGAAAAUGGUUAUGCCAUUUUACCCCUUAGUGUAAGAAUGAAUAUGGUAAUGUAAAAGAUAGACAAAAAAUUUUAACGCUACAACUCCACCUUACGCUUUGUUUUGUAGUUGGACAUUAGAGAAUGUUUGAUAUAAUAUCAUCAAAUAAUUAAAAAAACACUCAGCGUUUGACUUUUUAUUUAUUUGGUAAGAAAUAUCCCAAUCUUGAUGGUUUGCAAUCUAUAAGAUAAGAAACUGAACCAUUUUCUUUUAUCACGUUUACAACUAUCCAGACAUGAGGACAAAAUUAGUUUUUUGGGGAAAUUGAUAGUUAUAUAUAUUUUUAAUAAAAUAUCAUAACUUCAUUAAAAUCUGCAUUAAUGGCAAAAAUUACAUUAUCAAACAGACACAAAUAUCAAAGAACAUAUUUGAAGAAAGGAUAAUCCAGAUCUGAAAAAUAAUACAAAUUACAUUAUAAAGCUCCAAAUUUAAAAAAUGAGAUAAAAUAAUUAUAGCCGCAUGGGCAUCUGUGCAUACUUCAAUUGUCAGAUCUGCUGAUUAACUGUUUCAAGUCCAGAUAUUAUGGAAAAAUCUGCCGAAUAGAUUUAAGAAAUUCUAGAUCUGAUAAUCAAAAUUUGAGAAAACUCAUAUCUAGUAAAAGAAAAAAAAUUAUCAAAAACUCUCACUAGAAAUCCUUAGGAGAGAAUAAAACUCUCAUUAAAAAAUUUAGAAGAAAAGAAAACUCUUACUAGACAAUCUUUAGGAGAAAAGAAAUUCUCACUAGAAAAUUUUAGAAGAGAUUUUAUUUAUACAAAUGAAAAGAAACUAUAGAGAAAACACCUCCCAUAGGGAAAAAUUAGAAAAAUCUUAUCUUUCUCGCAUGGGAGAGUAGAAGGUAGUAUUUGCAGUUAGAGAGUUUUAUCAAUAGAGAAGGAAUAGUGGAGGAGUGAUGAAUCGUAUAAACUGAUAGUUAUAUUAGUCACAGCUGUAUGCAUGACUAAAUGGCAAUUCUCCCUUGAACAAACAAGUACAUAACUUCUCUUAUAAGUUAUAUGGUUUAGUUUCUAGAUUAUAAUCACACCUCAGUUUGUGCCCAUUUCGAUUAGAUGAUUAGGAAUAUUUACCAAUGGAAAAAUUUGAAAAUAUAAUACUUUUUAAUAUCUGAAUUCUGACAUCUACAACGUGUAUAAACAGAUCCCCAACAAAAAUUACUGAAUAGAUGAGAGUUGCACACUUUAUCCCAUUAUAAUAUUCCCCUAAUAAAAAUGCUUUUGUCCCUUCAAACAAAAUGAUAAAUCAUUAUGCUAGUUGUAUGGUAUAAAUGCAAUGUAGUGGCACAAGUGGCACACAGUCAAAUCCCAGAAAAAAUAAAAGAGGAAUUCUUGUCAUUGUAAAUUUUCUUUUGUUUGACAAAAUUACCUCAUUUUAUUGAGCAUCGGAAAAGAAAGCUAUACAUAAAAGCAUAAGCUCCUAAUACAUGAGAACUGUGUCCUAUGGUAUUUAGAAUAUUUAUACAAAUGAUUCAGUUUUAAUAAACUUCGAGUCAGCAUCUGAUCUAAUCGAAUUUGGCUAGAAACAUAAGUGGAGUAGCACUAAAGAAAUGCCCCACUGGAUUUUUUCAUUUGCGUUUGUGAUGUAGAAAAUGCACGACGACUUGAAGUUUCGGGGAAGGGAUACCUUUAUGGUAGGAAGCCCUUUGACCGUUCUUACCGUAGGAAGCCAUGCAGAGGUCGACACGUGUCUUUGAAGAAUGAGGACCAAACGGACCCGUUAUAUUGCAAUGCUAACGCGCGUGGAGGAGGAGCAAACGAAGUACAACUGAAGAAUGGAAGCGCAUUUAUAUACAACUGAAGUACAAACGAAGUACAACUGAAGUAUUAUUACAUAAACAUAUAUAUUAUGAUAACAUGAACAUCUAAUAUGCAUUUAUAAAUAAUAUAAAUAUGGUACCAUAUAAAUUUAAUCAAUUUAUAACACAUACGUUUCAUUAUUAUACGGUCCUCUAUUAAUUGAAUGAUUAUACUUUAUAUUUAUACAAUAUAUUAUGCAUGUGUAUAUAAUAAUUAUAAAUACAAAUAUAACUAUAUUUGUUAUUAAAAAAAUAUUAUAACGAUUAUAAAUAUAUUAUAUAACUAUAGUAAUAUCGUAAUAAAAAUAUAAUUAGUCCUUAAAUAUUUUAAUUAAUAUAUACAUCACUAUCAUAAUUAUUCCAAUUAUUCAUUCCCAAACUCUGUUCAGAAACGCCACAUUAGAUUGUCAUGCUCACUUUUCGACAGAUUAGUACAACAGUAACUGAAUUCGUACGCGGUUUCGAGAGCAUCACUCCAUAAAAUGUGCUUCCUACUUUAUGGACGGUGAUGUUAGUAUCAAAUACAAUUUUUUAUACUUUUUGGAAAAAUGGGAAAAUGGGCACUUUAUGCAGCAUACCCAUAAAUGGAUAGUAAUUUAUGAAUAAACGGGUAUAACAUAUUCAACCCACUUAUUUGCCAUUUACUCUGAUUUUAUCCAAUAAAUAAAUUAGUAAUCCAUCGGUGCCCUACAAUUAUGAAAAGGAGACUAGUGGUUAUGCAUCCAACAAAGUUACAUUUGUGUUGUUUUGUUUUGAAAGUUUAAAGUAAGGGGGGCAAGUGAGUUCCAGACCCCCAAAAAAAAAAGAGAGAUAAGUUGAGAUUUUUCAAUAUUUGUGAGUGUCAAGUAAAAUUGUUAGAAACCUCUAGAGAGGAUUAUGAAAUUAUCCCAAACAAAAAUUUAGAAUGAAUAAGUUACUUUUUAUAACAGUUCUAAAGGUUCCUUGAGAUUUUAUGAGAUUUUAUAAAUUAGGUGGCUUGAGUUUGCAAAAACAAUUUCUUGCAUAUGUUUGUAGUGGAAACGGAGUUUAAACUUGCUAUAGGUUAGAUUCUACUGUUCCACUGUAUCCUAAAGGGUAAUUUGCCAUUCAACUUAAUUUUAUUCUGAUUUUAUCCAACUAAUAAAUUAGCUUAUGAAAAAAAAUAGGAAAAUGGAUAAUUUAUGGAGGAAAACUAUAAAGAACUGGUGUUUUAUUGGAGAACGGUUUAUUGUUAUUUUAUCCGAUUACAUAAAUUUGUUUAUGGGAAAAUGGGUACUCUGUUCUUAUAAUGGAUGAAAAUCAUAAAGAGCUGGUGUUUUAUUGGAGAACGGGUACUCUGUUUUUAUAAUGGAAAAAUGGGUACUCCGUUCUUAUAAUGGAGGAAAGUCAUAAAAAGUUGGUGUUUUAUUGGACAACGGAUUUAUUUUUUUUUAUCCGAUAAAUAAAUUUGUUCAUGAAAAAAUGAGUACUCUGUUCUUAUAAUGGAGAAAAGUCAUAAAGAGCUGGUGUUUUAUUGGAGAACGGAUGUAUUGUUAUUUUAUCCGAUAAAUAAAUUUGUUUAUGGGAAAAUGGGUACUCUGUUCUUAUAAUGGAGAAAAGUCAUAAAUAACUGGUAUUUUAUUGGACAACGGGUUUAUUUUUUUUAUCCGAUAAAUAAAUUUGUUCGUGAAAAAUGGGUAUUCUGUUCUUAUAAUGGAGGAAAAUCAUAAAAGGCUAGUGUUUUAUUGGAGAACGGGUUUAUUGUUAUUUUAUUCGAUAAAUAAAAUUGUUCAUGGGAAAAUGGGUACUCUGUUCUUAUAAUGAAGAAAAGCCAUAAAGAGCUGGUCUUUUUAUGGGAAAGUGAUACUUUACAGAAAGUAACCCCGAGCAAACUUUAUGAAAUUAUCCCAAAAAAAAUUUAGAAUAAAUUUGUUUGUUUUGAAAGUGGGCUUUGGAUUGGGGACAACAAUACCUAUUCAAAAUGGGUAUUUUACUAGCUUUUUAUGGACAUUUUACUCUCAAACAUUCAAUUUAUAAUAAAUAUAUGAAUAUUUUUAAGUAAAAUUCAAAAAGUGUUACAGUAAUUUCUUACAGAAAAAAACUAGUAGGUUAUCUAUUUAAUAUAAAUUAAUUUUUUUUAAAAAAUAUCCUAUAAAGUACCAACUCUUUAUGGCUUUUCUUUAUUAUAUGAAACAAGUACCAGGUUUUUAUAGGUAUUUUAUUCUGAAUCAUUUAAUUUAUAUUAAAUACAUAAAUAUUUGCAAAUAAAAUUCAAAAGCCGUUACACAAAUAUUUUUACGAAAGGAAAACUAGCAUGUUUUGUAUUUAAUAUAAAUGAAGUAUUUGAAAGAAAAAAAAAUUGUCCAUAACAUGUGUUUUUUCAUUUAUAAAUAAUAUUUGUGUAUAGUAUAUUAAUAUAUAGUUAUAUUAAUAUUACAAAAUUUUUAUAAUUUUCUUUUAUCAUAUAUAAUAUUUAAUUUGGUCAGUUACAAACUUAGAAUCAUGAUAUUAUUAGCUAUGUGUAAUAUAUAAUGUGUAGGGGUGUAGGUAAUUUAAUUGAUAAUAUGAAUUGUAAUAUGAGCUAGUGUUUUAUUGGAAAGUGGGUUUUGUUUACUUUAUCUCAUAAAUAAAUGUGUUUACGGGUUUAUGGCUGCACAGUUCUUAUAAUGGAGGAAAACUAUAAAGAGCUAGUAUUUUAUUAAAAUAUGGGUUAAUUUUUAUUUUAUCCCAUAAGUAAUUGUGUUAACGGGUUUAUGGGUACUUUGUUCUUAUAAUAGAGGAAACCCAUAAACAGCUGGUGUUUUAUUGGGCAAAUGGGUUUUUCUUUUAUUUCAUCCCUUAAAUAAAUGUGUUUACGGGUUUAUGGGCACUCUGUUUUUAUAAUGGAGGAAAACCAUAAAGAGUGGGGUAUUUUAUUGAAAAAUGGGUUAAUUUUUAUUUUAUCCCAUAAGUAAAUGUGUUUACGGGUUUAUGGGUACUCUGUUCUUAUAAUGGAAGAAAGCCAUAAAGAAUUGGUGUUUUAUUGGAAAAUGGGUUUAUUUCUAUUUUAUCCCAUAAAUAAAUGCGUUUAUGGGUACUCUGUUCUUAUAAUGGAGGAAAGUCAUAAAGUACUGGUCUUUUAUGAAAAAUUGAUACUUUACAGAAAAUGAUCGCGAUUUGGUUUAUGAAAUUAUCAAAAAAAAAAAAAAUUGUAACGUGUCAUGCUCUGCGGGCCUAUAUUAAUAUAAUAUUUGUGUAUAGUAUAUUUAUAUCACAAAAUUUUUAUAAUUUUCUUUUAUCAUAUAUAAUAUUUAAUUUGAUUAGUUACAAACUUCGAAUAAUGAUAUUAUUAGCUAUGUGUAAUAUAUAAUGUGCAGGGGUGUAGGUAAUUUAAUUGAUAAUAUGAAUUGUAGUAUUAAGUAUACAUGCUUAUUAAUAAAAAUUAUGAAUUAGUUAUACUAAAUAUAAUAAUACAUUUGUACUAAUACAUUUAGUAAUACAGUUAUACUAAUAUAGUAUACACGUAUUUACUUUAUGUAAAUACAAAACCUACUAGUUUUCCUUUCGCAAAAACAUUAGUAUACUACUUUUUAAAUUUUACUUACAAACAUUUAUGUGUUUAACAUAAAUUAUAUGAUUCAGAGUAAAAUGCCUAUAAAUAGCUAGUAUUUUAUUCAUAUAAUAGAAGAAACCCGUAAAGAGCUAGUAAAAAGUGGGUAAUUUCUUUUUUUACUUUCACAUAUUUAAUUUAUGUUAAAUACAAAAUCUACUAGUAUCCCUUUUGUAAUAAUAUUAGUGUAACACUUUUUGAAUUUCACUUAUAAACAUUUAUGUAUUUAAUAUAAAUUAAUUGAUUCAAAGUAAAAUGCUCAUAAAUAGCUAGUAGUUUAUUUAUAUAAUGGAAAAAACUCGUAAAUAAUUGGUAUGUUAUGGACAAUUUUUUUUUUACUUUCAAAUACUUCAUUUAUAUUAAAUACAAAACAUGCUAGUUUUUCUUUCAUAAAAAUAUUUGUGUAACAGCUUUUGAAUUUUAUUUGCAAAUAUUUAUGUAUUUAACAUAAAUUAAAUGAGUCAGAAUAAAAUACCUAUAAAAACCUGGUACUUGGUUCAUGUAAUAGAGAAAAGCCAUAAAGAAUUGGUACUUUAUGGGAUAUUUCUUUUUUAAAAAAAUAUUUAAUUUAUGUUAAAUAAAUAACCUACUAGUUUUUUUUUGUAAGAAAUUACUGUAACACUUUUUGAAUUUUACUUAAAAACAUUCAUAUAUUUAUUAUAAAUUGAAUGUUUGAGAGUAAAAUGUCCACAAAAAACUAGUAUUUUGAAUAGGUAAUACUCAUUUGCCCAUAUGAAAUUUAUUAAUUGUUAAUUGUUUUGUAAUGUUUUGUCAUUCCUUUGUUAAUACUAUUUUGGUAAUACAAAGGAUAAAUCUGGUAUAAAUCUUUCUCCACGCACAUUACCACUGCCACAUGACGGCUCCGUUUGGUGCUUUUAGACCAAAUGCACGUGUCCAACUCUGCAUGGUUUCCUACGGUAGCAGUCUUCCUACCAUAAAGGUUUCCUUCGGGGAAGUCAAGCACUGACCCCUAAAUGAUGCCUCUGCUCAAACAGAGAGCCAUCAUUAUUGUAGAUGUAAAUAUUAAAACAAAAUAUAUAGAUAAUAUAAUAAUAACAUGUGAAAAUAUAAUAAAUUUUAGGGAUAAUUUCAGAAACCUCCCUUGAGCUUACUGAUUAGUGACAUUUUCACACAGCUCCCCUCGGGUUUAGAAAAUUACACCAACCUCCAUUGGUGCAGUGAAAUAACAGCAAUGUCCUUCAUUAAAUAGAUAAUUUAUACCAUGCGAUGAAACAAAAUGGUGAAAUGAAAAAAAAAAAAUUUUGUCACUACUAACCAUCUUGCCAUAGAUUCACCAACUAUUUAUAGUUCUCUAUUUCUCUCAUCCCUCUUGAGUCCUAUCUCUUUUCUUCUUCCCAUAACCUGUUCUCACCAACCAUAAUGACAACAGAGCAAUGUCCGCCUCUCUCAUUCACAGUAAUUAGAACCUUUUGAUUUUCCAACUUUUCUGAUAAAAGGAGUACGACUGAAAGUCUUUAUGACUAAUGAAUUGAUUUACUUAUCAAGGAAAUUGAUUUGGUAUUGGUCAUCUAUAAAGUAAGCCCAAAUAAAACAUAUCAUUUACGGUAAUAAAUGUUUGUAGAAAAUUGUAGAUAAAAUGAGUGAUGUUUUCCUUUAUCAAUUGGUAUCAAAAUUAAUGGCAUGGACCACUUAAUUAAUGGCUGGCUGAAUUAGUCCAUCUCCAAGAAUAAACCAACCAAAAUUUACAAAGUAGGAUCCACAUACUUUGCUAAGCAGAUGAUCCUGCGAUGUUCUUCAUUAAAGUGGACGAUUUACACACGUAAAAAAGAUUUAGACUUUAUCUCUUUGCAAUAUCUGUAUGGAUCUAUGUCUCUUUCUCUAGUGAAGACCUUGUUUAACGCAGUACUUGGGACUUGAUGAACUUGAUUUUCUUUUUUUUUUUUUUUUGAACUUGAUUCACUUGUUAAUAAGCAAAACAUUUUGGUGGUUUUUAAACUUUUGAAGCUAAAAGAAGAAUAAAUAGAUCAAGAAUUUCAAUUGCGCGUUUGAAAUUAGAAGAAGCAAAGAAAUCCUAAAUAAACAGCCAACAAGAUCUUUGGCGUGCACAUGUAACGUUGCGAGUUGGGUAGAAAAUUGGCCAAUGUAUUGGUUCUAAGUCCACUCGUCAAUGACUGUCGUGACCCACCACAGAAAAUUCUUAUUUUCUUGUAGACAAAAUCCUUAGAGACAUAUUUUGUACUGAAUUAAUGGAAAUUUUGAUUCUCUAUCAAUUGGUUGUGAAAUUGAAUUUUUGAUUUACGAUCCUCUCUUUUGCAAUCUAAAUCAAUUUAAAAAUUUUUGACUUAAAAAAAUUUAAUUGAUGGCUUAAUUUGAUCAAGAGUCUGAUCUUCAACAACAUAAUUAUAUCAUUAGGUAGUUAGUAGACUGAUUGAUAUAUCUUUUUCGAGUUUAAUUCCAAAAUAAUAUAAUUACAAAAAUUAUUUCCCAAUGUAAUACUUUUUCAAAACUAUUCCUCGAUUUGAUACUCCUUGUGAGCUGUAGACUUGCAGCAGAAGAACAAAAAUAUAAAUUAUAUUGCAAAAGUUUGUAAAUUACAAGGACAUGUUGACACAACAUUUCCUCAGUCUUUUUCUAUUUUACUACCUUGUUGUCUAACCUCUGUGCUUUCUAACAUUAUCGCACUAUCAGUUUUUCCAUCUGUUCAUUACUCUUGAAUAUUUCUUGUCCUUCACUUUUGAACAUCUCUCACCUUUUUUUUUGGGUUUAUUCUAUCUCAAAUGAAUAUUGUCUUCCACCUCUCCAUUCUCAAUUGGUUAUGCUUCUAGAUGAAGUACUAGUACUUGGUAAAAUGCAGAAGUUUUUAUCAAAUAAUUUCUAAUGUGAUUAUUACACUAUUUUAUUGAUAAAUUACGAUAUAAUCAAGGUGAUUGCAAUUAAUCUGCAAUUCACUGGGGACAAAAUUGUGAAAGUAAAUUUGGUGCAACUGAUUGUAAGUUUUUUCACAAAACAAGUAACUUUUAUAAUUUAUGUAACUUGCUAUCUAAAUAUUAAACCUUACUGGAUUUUUCUAGCUAAAAUUACCUUCUUCUUUUUUUUCAAAAACUCAGGAUUUUUUUAUACAAAACAUACUAUUUUUCAAGAAAAACUUAUGACUUCAUUAACAAAUCUUACCACUUUUUUAGUAAAAUUUACUAUAUCAUUAACAAGACUUUUCUAUUUUUCAAACGAAACUUCCUAUUUUUUGUACAAAACUUCCAACUUUUCAAACAAAAUUUAUGACUUUGUUAAUAAAUUUUAACAUUUUUUCACGUACAGUAUAUUAGUAAAGAUCUAAAUAAUGAUAAGCUUGGUUACUGCUGCCAGAUGGGAAUUGGCUGGAGACUUGAAUAAGAACUGAAUAAGAAGAGUAGCAGUAAACACGAAUAAAUACCAAGAAGAUGCCCCAUUGGAUGUUUUUUUGGAUGUUUUUUGGUACCCCAGAUGGGUGGUUCAUUUAAUUAAAUGCUAGUAGAAAUUGCUGAUAAAGACGACUACAUGAAAGUCUUCAUGGAAAGUUGAUAGCUUGCUCUCGAGAGUGAUGUAUAUAUUUCGUUUUUCAUAAGAAUUAUCAGUAUGAACCAGUCCGUCGACGACUUGGGACAGGAAUCGUUGUCAGGUUAACUGUCUUGAACGAUUUCUGUUAAUAUAUUGAAUAAUAAGUUAGGUCGUCAAUGAAAGUCCCGAUACUCUGUGGAAAAUCUGUUAUGUUUUGUGGGGGAAAAAAAAAUCCUUGGAGACCAAUUCUAGAUUCAAUUAAUGGAAACGUUCAUUCCCUAUCAGUUGGUUGAUUUACAAAUUUAUGGUACCACAGAACUUCCACCCUCUUUUUUGCAAUUUAAAUUAAUGUAAAAUGUUUGAUAGAAAAUCACCAAACCAAUUGAAAAUUUGUCAAAUGGGAAUAACAAAUAUUUUUUGGGGUUUGAACCAUUUUCAUCUUUAAAGUUUCCUUGAAGACAUAUUUAGACCUAACAGUUUCAAAUUUUCAUCAACUCUAUAUAGUUGACGACAAAUCAAAUAAUUUGGAUACCAAAAAAAAGAGCUUGGCAAAUAAUGAAUUAAGUUUUUGUACACUAUUAGUGUAAAUAUUUUUUACACUAGCAGUUGUAGAUGUAUGCUACCUUUGAAAAAACGGAAUUUCAAAUUUAAAAUUAAAUUAUAUGGCAUAUAUCCAAUACAACUCAUGUAUAUAUUGAUAGUGCAUAAAAAAAUUACACCUUAUCUAAAGUAUCUUUAAUCGUUGGUCUCAUUUUUUUUUUCAUUUAGUCCUUUUCCUUUUUCUCGAACACAAAGUAGUCUUUAUUAAUAAUUUUAGUUUUUCAUGUAUAUAUUUUUUGUUUUCAAGUUCUUCAACAAUUCCUUCCACUACGGAUUGGGUUACCAAAUUAAAUUUCAUCAAAAAGGUUUCGGUACCUCUGGCCUAAUACCCUCCUCCUCCUUAUUCAUAUUAAUUCUUGGGCUUGGAUAAUUGAAGAACUACAGCGAAUAAUAUGCAUCGAUAAAUUAUUUAUUUAUAUAAAUGCAAGAUUUUUGUUUAGUGGAUUAUAAUUUAUAGCUUUUUUGUUUCCCUGGCCAGUCAUGCAAGUAAACCUUUUUUUUUUGGGUCCAAGUAAACGAUUAAGUUUUUACCUAAUGACAACAUAGGCAAAGCAAUCUACUUAAGAUGCAAAUCUAUUAUGAUUAAACAACCUCAAGAGCUAAUUCCUAAUUUAAUGUAAUUGCCAAUCCCUUGUGUUCUUGACGUGCUGGGAGGGUCUGGGUCUGGUCGUGAGUCGUGACUCAGCAUCGGAAAUUCUUACGCCCGAGGAAUGUUUAUUAAACAAAUUUGGUUUUAAGAAAAAAGAUUCUCACUCCGUACUUUUCUGAAUAAUUUCUGUGAUAUUUCAAAACAAUUGCCAAAAUUUUUUAAAAAAAUUUUAAUAGUUGAUUUGGUUAUGAAUAUUAUUGAAGGUAUUCAACAUAGAAGUGGAUAUUAUGGGCUGAUGGCGUACAGGUUUUUAUGGGCUGAUAGCGUACAGGUUUUGGAUUCCUGCAGUAUCCUUUUCAACAUGUGCCUUUGUAUUAUGAUAGUAGUAAUACGGAUGGAAUUGUUAGCGAUGGCCCCAGUGGUAGAAAAAAAAGAGUAUUUUCUAUUACUUUUAUUUUUGGAUUUCAACAGUGCCUUUGUAUUAUGAGAAUUUUCUAUUACUUUUAUUGUUGUUGCCCUGUGAUAGUGGUAAUAGAGGCAACCUUGGUGGUGGUUGUGGAGGUAGAAAAAUGGUAGUGUUCGUGAAUUUUGGUGGCAGAGAGAAUAACAUAAGAUAACUUUUUUUUUUUUUUUAAAAAAAAAGAAUGGUAAUUUAGAAUUUUUAUGUGAAAUUUGUUGUCUUUUCAAAGAUUUUGUUAGCAAAAUAAUAAAUACAAGAGUGGUUAGCAUAAUUGUUGAAUUUAGAGGGGCGCUAGGUGAAAUUUUCAGAAAUCUUAGAACAAGUUUCAAAAAAUUUCUCUCCUUUUAUUCACUCACUCUAUUCUUUUAAUAUUCUUUUAAUAUUUCCACUUGAACAUCUCAUUUUUCCAAUAGUCUCCCUCUACUUUAAUUGUGUUGUUCGUAGUUAUCCUUAUAACUGGAAAUUCAGUGCAAAAGGUGACAAUUGAAAGACAAAAACAAUAUAUUCUAGAGUAGAAAUCUGGCAUUAUAUAUAUGUUAGCCUAUUUGAAAAGCUGAGAGACCAACAUUGCAGUUUUCUAAUUUCUAAGGAACUUGUAUGCCAGUAACAAAUAGAAAUACUGGGUAUUGUUUGUCAAAAGAAUUUGCAGAAACACCAACGUUGUGGUGUUAAAGUAAAGACCAAAACAUCAAUGUUCUGAGUCGCUUUUUACAGGUGAACUCAAUUAAAAUCCUCAUUUGGCUUUGAAGUAAGUGCUCAUUAGGGAAUGGCCGCAAUUGACUUUAGAUGAUUUGCAGAUAAACCGCCAACUACUGAUUUGGAAUAUUUUCUGGAAUUUCAGGCCCAUGAAUUUUGGGCUCUAUUUUACCGGAAUCUGUUGUUUGGCCCAACAUGCACAAGGCUCCACAUAAUCCUACUCUACAUUCCACUUCACCAACCCUAAGCUCUGUGUCAAUGAUACUCUUUUUCCGAUGACUGAGAAACUCAGACUUUUUCGUUACUAAAGUUGACCUGCGAGAAACCUUCAAAAGCCGGCAACUUUUGAAGGCUCCCGCAGACCUUAAUAAACCCAAACCCCAAACCCCCCCGAACCGAUGUGGGAUAGAAACCCCACAGGGGUGUCAAUGAUACUCAGGUAAGCAUUUUGUCCUGCUCUUUAAUUAAUUACUGGAGAUAGAUAGAAAAAACGGUAGCCCAUGUAAAAGUAGAAAAUUUGUCUGGUUCAUACUAGUAUGUGUAAUUAUUAGAAUCACUGGUUGAGGCACGCCCUAUGUGUGCGUAUACUUUAGGAAAAAGUAAUUAAUGAAAAAGAUAUAGAAUAACAAACUAGUAAGAGCAAAAGAAUUAAUUAUAGAGUAUUGGGAUUUUUUAAAUUGAAGUUAGCAGGAAGACUUCGAUAUAUAUGUGUGUGUAUAUAUAUAUAUAUAUAUAUAUAUAUAUAUAUAUAUAUAUAUAUAUAUAUAUAUAUAUAUAUAUGGUAGCAGUGGAUAAGUUCCGAUAAGUACGGAACUUAAAAGUAGCAGUUAUGUCAACAUGGACAGUAUGGAGUAUGAGAUGACAAUAUAAUACUUCAUCAUGCAAGGAGAAAAUUGGAAUAACAAAAAAUGACAAAAAAUUUUUUAACACAAAUUAUAACUAUUUGGCAAAAAACUCCUGAAAAUACUUGCAAAACCUCUAAUAUUAAAUUGCGCAUAAUUAGCAACAUAAUUUUAGAGUAAUUACAUUUGAUCAAAAGUGAUACAAUCUCUCGUUACUAGAAGAAGGGAGGGAUGGAUAAGGGAGAAAGAAAUAUAAAUAAGAAAUCUUGGAUUCAAGACUUUCUACUUACAUUAAAAAAAACAUUGAAAAUAAAACAAAAUAAGAAAAUCUCUAGUUAUUAUGUUUGAUCAAACAAUGUUACAAUGGCACAACAGCGUAAUUUGUUUAGGAUGGGAAGUUUUGAAGAAGUUGACGGUAGUUUUUCUCUCUUCUCUGCUUUUGUAGAUAGAAAAGCGUAUUUUAGGAAAAUCGAAUCAAUAUUUUGCUAAGCACAUUUGGGUUUGUUUAUGUAAGCAUUAAAAUAUGAGAGCUAAGUGUAAUUCUCAAUGCCUAUUGCUAGCUUUUGCAAUUAUGUUAUACCUCAUAGGGUUUAUGUGAAAUUAAUUUCAUAGAAUAAUACUUUUGUAUAAAAUUCUGUGGAUCUUUGCACCUAUUCAGUGCAAUUGAUUUGCAGAAAAAUGUGAGAAAGUCACUUAAGUAGUUCUUGAGUUAGUUAUGGCAAAAAAAGUCCUGGCCAGAAACAACGACGAUGUUGAAGUUGACAAUUGUUCAUAGAAGAAAAGAAAACCAGAAAACAGAAAUCAAGAGCCAAGAAUGGGACUCUUCACCUACACCAUAACCGGUGGCGGUUUCAUGUUGAUCGGUGCCUGGGAAUUGUUCGUAUCUUCCUCUGAGUGUAUCCAAAAUACGCCACUAUCUCCGCCCCUUACCAGCCAUCGCGCCAUUUCGGCUAUUAACAACAGCAGCACUCAAACGAAAAAGGCCCCUCUUUCUUCAUCAUCGGUAACAUGCUUAUCAAUCUCCGUCCUUUUUUUCCUCUUCAUUCUAAACUCUCUCAUCUCCAUCUCCGACGCCCUCAACUCCAAAGACCACGUCAGUUUCGCCUUCCAGUUAGAGGUAAUCGCAAUUGCUCUCCUUUUUUCCUCUACUCAACUCUGGGUCUCUGAGCGCAUGUCAAGAUUUCGUUUCAAUUUCCUUCGGCGAUCCUCAAUAUGCUGCUUCUUUUCGCUUUCGGAGAAGAAAUUUUGUUCUUUUACGUUAGAAGAAAGGACCCCAGGGGGGUAGAAAACCGAUACUACGACCUCUUCCUCGUGCCAAUAGGCAUUUGUCUGUUUUGUACUAUUCUAGAACUGAAAAGUCCGAAAUCGAAUAAUGCAAGAUUGGGACGCGGGGUUGGACUGGUUUUACAGGGUAUGUGGAUAGGUAAGAUGGGAUUCAGUUUCUUGAUCAACCCAAAAAAAAAAGAAAAAAAAAACCCAAUACUGAUGUCUAUAUAUGCACAUCGUGAAUCCGUAUAAACAUGAAACAUAAAGACAUUUUGUUCGUUAUCUAGCCAAUAGGUCCAGCCGUGCAACCCACUAAGCUAUAUGCAAGAGGGCACAAGUUUAGAAACCUGUAUCCUGAUCUACUCUUGUCUACCAAGUGAGGCAGAGAUGAACAGUGUACCAUUAAAGAAAGCAAAAUGAAAUACACUACUGCAACCAUCCCAAAUAAACCUGGUUCAUCAAAUCAAGGGUUCAACAACUUUGAUAUCAUCUAACAGCAGAUUCCAGCGGGCCUCGUAAUGCUGAUAAUUGAUGUGUCCAUCUCUCUAGUCUCUACAGCCAAAAUGAUGACCACAUUCUAAGCUACUUCUAGUUUUGAGCACCUUUAGAACCUUCCAUCACCCCUUUGCCACCCUCACGAAUGCUUGAGUAACUCAAUGAUACUGAUUUUGCACUCUUUCGCUCUUCAUUCUUUGAGCUGCUCAGUGUAAGAAGGACAAGUUAGACGAGGAAUUACAUAUGAAAAUAUGAGCCAAGUACAUUUAAUAUGUUGUCUGAUUGAGCAGACCUAAUUGCAUAUUUCCUACUUCCAAGUACAUUCAGAUGUUACUAACUGAUGAUCUUUUCUCCUUCCACCCUUAUCACUGAAGUGGAAGUCCUUCAAAAGGUGACUUAUUGCCACAGAUCACAAACCAAAUCAUAAAUUCUAGUAUUAGCAGGAACCACAAAUAAAUCAUAAUUAACCACUAUAAAAGAUUCAUCAUGGCUAAUAAUCAGGAACAUCAAACAAUCAUUGCAAUUCUUCAAGUCAAUUCAUGGUUUACGUUAAUAACAUAAACACAAACAGGAGCAAAAAUGUCCUGAAACACUAUAAUUGCAACUUUAAAAAAAAUUAUAACCGAACUCACAAUGCAGAUCAAUAUCCUCUUCACCAGCUAACCCAAAAAAAUAAAAAAUAAAAAGAUUCCGUCGUUGCAUUUAUCCAAACUCUAUGUCACAAACAAUUUAACAAAUGAGCUAAUUUAAGCUAUUCACUUAACAAAACUAAGAUCCAAAUAUCUACCUCGUCAAUGAGUACCAUAACCAUUGACUUCUGAUGCAGGCACUGCUACAAUAGCCUUCUGCAUUUCCACACUCCUCACCUCUUUAAUCCCAUUCUGAUCAGCAUCAUCAAGAUCAUCAUCAGAAUCCAAAGUAAACUGAGGCUGACCAUCCAAAUGCUGAAUCUCAGCUCCAAGCGGCCUAUACUGCAACAAAUCACGCCUAAUCCCAUGCUUCUUGCGGACAAUUCCAUACACCACAACACUCAAAGUCACUAGAAGUGCAAGAUGGCAAUUAAACUGAAGCAUAGCGAUCGCUCGACCACGAUGAUACUCAGGGUGCCCUUUACACUUAAUCGUAUAGUUUCCUCUACUCUUCCCCUGCAAAGAGCAUACGUGUACCAUCAUCAAAUCGGAGAAAAACGAGAAACCCAUUUGGACUAUCCACAUACCUUGUAAAACCAGUCCAACCCCGCGUCCCAAUCUUGCAUAAUUGGAUUUCGGACUUUUCAGUUCUAGAAUAGUACAAAACAGACAAAUGCCUAUUGGCACGAGGAAGAGAUCGUAGUAUCAGUUUUCUACCGCCUGGGGUCCUUUCUUCUAACGUAAAAGAACAAAAAUUCUUCGCCCAAAGCGAAAAGAAGCAGCAUAUUGAGGAUCGCCGAAGGAAAUUGAAACGAAAUCUUGACAUGCGCGAAGAGACCCAGAGUUGAGUAGAGGAAAAAAAGGAGAGCAAAUGCGAUUACCUCUAACUGGAAGGCGAAACCGACGUGGUCUUUGGAGUUGAGAGCGUCGGAGAUGAAGAUGAGAGAGUUUAGAAUGAAGAAGAAAGAAAGGACGGAGAUUGAUAUGCAUGUUACAGAUGAUGAAGAAAGAGGGGCCUUUUUCGUUUGAGUGCUGCUGUUGUUAAUAGCUGAAAUGGCGCGAGGGCUGGUAAGGGGCGGAGAUAGUGGCGUAUUUUGGAUACAUUCAGAGGAAGAUACGAACGAUUCCCAAGCACCGAUCAAGAUGAAACCGCCACCGGCUAUGGUGUAGGUGAAGAGUCCCAUUCUUGGCUCUUGAUUUCUGUUUUCUGGUUUUCUUUUCUUCUCUUUAUCCUCAGGUGAGUAGUCUUCAAUGCAAUCAUUACCCAGAUUUUCUCAAAGCCACUUUCUAUAAACUUGAAGUAUGAAUAGCGCCAUGAUUUCUUGAAGAGAAGGAUUCCCAAAACUCUCAAGAGCCCGACAGCAAACCCCGGUCCUAUACCAGCAUAAAACCAAGACCAAUCAGACUUUGCUGUGGCCUUUAUCAUCAUGAGUAGGCCCAUUUUUUGUAGACAACUUGUGUUCCGAGAAGUUGAUUUGGAGCGGUUUGCCACAAAGUCCACUAUUUCCUUCAUAGAUAGAUGGAUCGGUCAAGGUCUGAAGUUGAUUUCCUACAGGUAUUGGCCCUGAAAGUUUAUUGUGUGACAAAUUCAGGGAGUUCAAUGAGUACAAAUCAGAUAAGCUUUCGGGGAGAUAGAUCAAGUGCUUCAAGUUGCCGAUCUUCUCGGCGAUCCUUCCAGUCAAAUGAUUGUGAAAGAUUCAAAAAUUUCAAUUGAUCGAGUUCCAUUAUCUCAUCAGGGAUCUCGCCAACGCUAUAAUCUCCUUCUUGGCCUGAUACCAUGGUAUUAAUGUUAUUAGAGCAGUGAGGAAUAAAUCUACUCAAGUUAUUAUGUGCUAAGUUCAGCACUCGAAGAUGUAAGAGUUGGUAGAGCGUAUCAGAAAUAGCUCCAUGGAAGUUAUUUGACUAAAAGCUUAGACACAUUAAAUUUGUUAACCUUUCCCCAAUCCAAGCUGUUAUAAUAUCCUUUAGUCCAUUGUCGCCGAGAUCAAGAAUUUGCAAAUUUCAUGGGAAUAAAAACAUAUGUGCAUAAUAUACAUACAUAUUAGUACCGUGUGUGUGAUGCAUGUGAAUAAAAACAUAUUUUAUAGUAUGUGUAUAAUACCUUCCCAUGAACAACAAUUUUCUCCAAUCCAAAAUAACAGUCAAUUUGAUUCAUCUAUCAACCUAUACUUGAAUUGAAGAAGAGCUUGUUGUUCAUUCUCAAUACAAGAGACAUUCGAAUAAUUAUGAGCUUGUUUGCUGCUGCCAAAUGUGAAUUGGCUGGUUACAGGAAUAGAACUGAAUAAGAAGAGUAGUAGUGAACAUGAAGUAGUACAAAGAAGAUGAUGCUCCAUUGGAUUUCUUUGGUAUUAUUGGUUUAUUUGAUAUAGUUAUCUCAGAUGAGUGGCCUCAUUUAUACACUUACAAAAAGCAUCACUUCACCAUUUUGUGUUUGUGGGAAGUAGAAUGGAACCAUACAAAGAUGAUAAAGGACGACGGCUUCAAGUCCUCGUGGAAAAAAUGUGGUGGAGGGGAAAGACAGCGUGGAAAAUCCUUGCGUGCUUGUGAGGAAAAUCUUUGGUGACAUACAAAUGGAAAUAUUAAUUCAUUUUAUUUUUGGAUUUUAAUUUAAUUUGGAUACCGACGUUACCAUAAAAACUCAAUCCUAAUUAAGUUUUGUUAUUCUUAUGAACUACUGAUCGGAGCACACUAUAUAUAUGCGUAAAUAAUUCAAGUUAUAUUUAAUUGUAAAAAUUAGUUUUCUGGAAAUUAGUUUUACAUUUUGAGAAUUCAUGUUUUAUGAAAUUUUGUGUGAAAACAAUAUACAUGAGCAGUUUUUUGUUAGUUAUCAUUAACUGUAAGCAUUAGCAAUACAACUCAAAUUUCCACAUAAAACGAGAAAAAGUAAUUUUUUGAGAAUUUCAAAUGCGCAUUUAAAAUUUUAAGAAGCAUAGAAAACCUUAAAAAACAACGUUCAAGAUCUUGACGGGCAACAUAUAACGUUCCAAGUUGGGUACAAAAUUGGCGGAUGUGUCUAAGUCCACUCGUCAAUGGAAGUCGUGACCCACCGUGAAAAAUUUUUAUUUUCUUGUGGACAAAAUCCUUAGAGAAUAUUUUGUACCGGAUUAAUGGAAAUUUUGAUUCUCUAUCAGUUGUUUGCAAUCUAAAUUAAUUUUAAAAUGUUUGACUUAAAAUCUCCAAACCUAUUGAAAAUUUGUCACAAAUCCUAAAUUUAAUAGGUCUAUGUUAAAGAAGCAUGAAGGACGCGCGGUAGUCUGCAUUGCAUGUUGGAUAGUUACAAAAAAAAAAAAAAAAAAGGUGCACAUUUAUCAAAAAAGUUUUGUUUGUUUUUAUGUACUUGUUCAUUAUCAAAAUUUGAUCUUUCAAAAGUUUAUGUACUUGAAUAAGAGGUUUGAGCAUUCAAAAAACCUUUUAUAUGUAAAGUGAAUUAUAUAUAGUGCGACAAACAGCAAGUAUGGAACUCCUUUUUUAGUCUUUUUUUGAGCUAAUCUAUAUUUCUUUCUCCAAUAAAGACAUUCUUUGACAUUAAUGUGGCAUCAUAAAGUUUUUCAUAAGUAAAACAUUUUAGUGGCUUUUAAAUUAUAAAGAAGAUGAAGCUCAAGAAAAAAAAAAAGAAUAGACCAACAACCUAGAAUGCAAAUAUCAAACCAAGAAAAGGACAAACAAAAAUUCCUAAAUUCAUAGCAUCCAAUAUCAAGACGUCCACCGUCCACAUAUAGCGUUUCAAAGGGGUUAGAAUAGUAGGUUUGGCGUUCCAAUACUUUCACUUGUCAAAUUUUAUGAUCUGUUCAUGUCUGCAAUUAUAUGGGAAAAGUCUCCAAUUGGGUGAAGAUUCUCUGCAAUUCAUCUAAUUCAUGGAAGCUAAAUGGACACAUGUUGUUUUGAUGGAUACAUAAUUAUAAGAGAUAAUUGCAGAAACCUCCCCUGAGAUUUCUGACAUUUGCACUGACCUCCCCUGUAGGUUUAGAAAUUGCAUUCACCUCCUCUGAACAGUAACAAUUUGUUGCAGAAACCUCCCUGACAGCUUUUGUAGAUGUGAGAUAAGAAAUUUCUUCCAAUUUUGCCCUCUUCUUGCUUGACAAUUAUUAUUUGCUUGACAAUUGCUUAACUAAUUAUCUAAUUAGUUAAUAGUUAAACUAAUUAACUAUUAACUAAUUAUCUGAUUAAUUAUUAACUAAUUAACUAAUUAUCUAAUUAAUUAAUUAACUAAUUAACUAAUUUCUAUUUUUCUAAUUAGCUGUUUAACUAAUUAACUAAAGCUAUUGUCUGUCCGAAACUAACAAACUAUUUGCAUGUUAAACUAAUUAACUAAUUAACUGCUUAACUAAUCAACUAAUUAACUAACUAACAAAUUAACAGACUAUUUGCAUGUUAAACUAUAUGUAGUACGCAUUACCUAUUUACAGUAUCGGCUCUUUAUGGGUAUUUUACUUUCAAACAUUUAAUUUAUGAUAAAAACAUCAAUGUUUGUAAGUAAAAUUCAAAAAGUGUUACAGUAAUAUUCUUACAAAAAGGGAGGAGCAUAUGGCCAUAAAUUAAAUGUUUGAAAGUAAGAAUAUUGAUAUCUUUUGUAACACUUUUUGAAUUUUACUUACAAACAUUGAUAUUUUCAUCAUAAAUUAAAUGUUUGAAAGUAAAAUACCUAUAAAGAGCCGAUACUUUAAAUAGGUAAUGCGCACUGCAUAUAGUUUAACAUGCAAAUAGUUUGUUAAUUAGUUAGUUAAUUAAUUAGUUAAUUAGUUAAGUAGUUAAUUAGUUAAUUAGUUUAACAUGCAAAUAGUUUGUUAGUUUCGGACAGACAAUAGCUUUAGUUAAUUAGUUAAUUAGAUAAAUAGAAAUUAGUUAAUUAGUUAAUUAAUUAAUUAGAUAAUUAGUUAGUUAAUUAGUUUACUGAAUGGGCUGCAAUUGCUGGCCCCUUGUAGUUGGCAAAGUUUUACUAGCUAUUGCGGGAAGCUGUUGAGGUCUUUGAUGAGAGCUGUGGUGGCGCACAGAAUGCCUUGGGGGCCUUAUUUAUCAUGUUCUAAUGGAAUAAAGGUAGAAUGAAUCAUGUGCCUUGCAUGUUCCUUGCUUUGAAUAUGGUUUUAUCCAGUGAAGUUUGUGAGAGGUUGGAAAUUUCAAGUGAUCUGCAGGUAAGCUUGUUAGGCUUGCAAAGCUCACUGAAGUGAGAUGUAGCCAAAACUUUCGGUUAGGGGGGCGAGAAAUCAAGUGCAUGGCAAUAUAAGAAAAAUGAAGUAGAGAAAGUAUGCAAAUAGUUUGUUAGUUUCGGAUAGACAAUAGCUUUAGUUAAUUAGUUAAUUAGAUAAACAGAAAUUAGUUAAUUAGUUAAUUAAUUAAUUAGCUAAUUAGUUAGUUAAUUAGUUAAGUAGUUAAUUAGUUAAUUAGUUUAACAUGCAAAAAGUUCGUUAGUUUCGGACAGACAACAGCUUUAGUUAAUUAGUUACGCAUGCAAAUAGUUUGUUAGUUUCGGAUAGACAACAACUUUAGUUAAUUAGUUAAUUAGAUAAUUAGAUAAUUAGUUAAUUAGAUAAACAAAAAUUAGUUAAUUAAUUAAUUGGAUAAUUAGUUAGUUAAUUAGUUUAACAUGCAAAUAGUUUGUUAGUUUAGGAUAGACAACAACUUUAGUUAAUUAGUUAAUUAGAUAAACAAAAAUUAGUUAAUUAAUUAAUUAGAUAAUUAGGUAGUUAAUUAGUUAAGCAGCUAAUUAGUUAAUUAGUUUAACAUGCAAAUAGUUUAUUAGUUUCGGACAGACAACAACUUUAGUUAAUUAGUUAAUUAGUUAAUUAGUUAAUUAGAUAAAUAGAGAUUAGUUAAUUAGAUAAACAGAAAUUAGUUAAUUAAUUAAUUAAUUAAUUAGAUAAUUAGUUAAUUAGUUAAUAGUUAAUUAGAUAAUUAGUUAAUAGUUAAUUAGUUUAAUUAUGCAGAAAUAGUUUGAUUAGUUAAUAACUAUUAACAAUUAGAUAAUUAGUUAAUUAGUUAAUAGUUAAUUAGAUAAUUAGUUAUUAAUUAAUUAGAUUAUUAGUUAAUUAGUUAAACUAUGCAGAAAUAGUUAACUUAGUGUAAUUUUUAUUAACAAAUGUUUUGUUGGGUUUGAUGAAAGUACUCAUCACAUUCAUUUGGUAAAAUUAAAUCAUGUCAGGGAUACUUUAGUAAAUUGAUCCACUUUUGCAUAUUAAAUUGUCUCCAACUUUUGAUAGGAGAGGUCAGUGCUAUUUCAAUAUUGAUAGGGGAGGUCAAUGCUAUUAUUAUAAAAGUCAGGGGAGGUUUCUGCAAUUAUCCCUAAUUAUAAAUGAGUGAGGUCAUUCUAAUAAUAAAUGAGUGGCUAAUAUGAUGCCACAUAUAGGCUUUAUCCUGCUAUCACACGUUUCGAUAGGGACAACUGAUAGGGAGUGAACAUUUCCAUUAAUUGAAUCUGGAAUAUGCCUCCAAGGAUUUUUUUCCACAACGUAUGGGGACUUUCAUUGACUAACCAAACUUGUUAUUUAGUAUAUUAACAAACACCGUUUAAGACGGUUAACCUAACAUCUGUCUCGAUCCCAACUUAUCGAUGGACUAGUUCAUAGUGAUAAUUCUGAUGAAAAACAAAAUAUAUACAUCGCUCCAGAGCAAGUGAUCAACUUUCUAUGAAGACUUUUAGACAGUCGUCCUGAUCAGCAAUUUCUACUAGCAUCUAAAUGAACUACCCAUUUGAGCUAGCUUUAUCAAAUACCCAGUAAAAAAAACAUCCAAAGGCUCAUCUUCUUGGUAUUUAUUCAUCUUUACUACAGCUGUUUUUAUUCAGUUCUAUUCAAGUCUCCAGCCAAUUCCUGUUUGGCAGUAGUAAUCAAUCUUAUCAUUAUUUAGAUCUUUACUGGUAUAUUAUACAUGAAAAAAUGUUAAAAUUUAUUAGGAAAGUCAUAAAUUUUGUUUGAAAAAGUAGCAAGUUUUGUGAAAAAAGGGGAAGUUUUGUUCGAAAAAUAGAAAGGUUCUGGUAAUGAUAUAGGAAAUUUUACUAAAAAAGUGGUAAGAUUUGUUAAUGAAGUUAUAAGCUUUUCUUGAGAAAUCGUAUGCUUUAUAUAAAAAAAAUGCUAAGUUUUGGGAAAAAAUGGUACCUUUUGCUAAAAAAUCUAGUAAGAUUUAGUAGUUAAAUAGCAAGUUACAAUAGCUAAUAAAAGUUAUUUGUUUUGUGCAAAAACUUACUAUUAGUUAUGCCAAAUUUCUCUUUUUGCAAUUUAAAAUAAUACAAAAUGUUUGAUAGAAAAUCACCAAACCAAUUGAAAAUUUGUCAAAUGGGAAUAACAAAUGUUUUGGGGUUUGAACCAUUUUCAUCUUUAAAGUUUCCUUGAAGACAUAUUUAGACCUAACAUUUUCAAAUUUUUAUCAAUUCUUUGUAAUUGUUGACAAAUCAAAUAAUUUGGAUACCAAAAAAAAGAGCUUGGCAAAUAAUGAAUUAAGUUUUUGUACACUGCUAGUGUAAAUAUUUUUUACACUAGCAGUUGUAGAUGUAUGCUACCUUUGAAAAAACUGAAUUUCAAAUUUAAAAUUAAAUUAUGUAGCAUAUAUCCAAUAUAACUUAUAUAUACACUGGCAGUGCAUAAAAAAAUUUCACCUUAUGUAAAGUAUCUUUAUUCGCCCAUCGCAUAUUUUUUCUCAUUUAGUCCUUUUCCUUUUUCUCGAACACAAAGUAGUCUUUAUUAAUAAUUUUAGUUUCUUCCACCAUCAAAUCCAGCAGUGCUAACGGGUGUGACCAAAAUUUCAACUGGUCUCUUGAAAAAAAAAAGCGCGAUCUUUACUUUCUUCCCAUUUGUUUUCAUUUUUAAAUUUGUCUCUCCUUCUUAUUAUUAUUAUUUUUUCUUGUUUUUACAUUCUUCAACAAUUCCUUACACUACGGAUUGGGUUACCAAAUUAAAUAUCAUCCAAAUGGUUUCGGUACCUCUGGCCUUAUACCCUCCUUCUCCUUGUUCAUAUUAAUUCUUGGGCUUGGAUAAUUGAAGAAUUACAACCAAUAAUAUGCAUCAAUAAAUUUGUUUAUUUAUAUAAAUGCAAGAUUUUUGUUUAGCGGAUUAUAAUUUAUAGGUUUCUUGUUUCCCCGGUCAGUCAUGCAAGUAAACUUUUUAUUUUUUUUUUUUGGGUGCAAGUAAACGAUCAAGUAUAUACCUAAUGACAACAUAGGAAAAGCAAUGUACUUAAGAUGCAAAAGAACAGGGGUAAAUUAUGAUUAAAUAACCUCAAGGGGCUAAUUCCUAAUUUAAUAUAAUUGCCAGUCCCUUGUGUUCUUGACGUGCUGGGAGGGUCUGGUCGUGAGUUGUGACUCAGCAUCGGAAAUUCUUACGCCGGAGGAAUGUUUAUUAAACAAAUUUGGUUUUAAGAAACAAGAUUCGCACUUGGUGCUUUUCUGGAUAAUUUCUGUGAUAUCUAAAAACAAUUGCCAAAAUUGGAAAAAAAAACGAAUUUUAAUAGUUGAUUUGGUUAUGAUUUUAUUGAAGGUAAUUAAUAUAGAAGAGGAUCAAAUUGUUUUCUUAAACUUUAAUAUGGAUAAUAAUUUGCGGGCAACAACAAUUGUAUGAUCAAAACAGUUCCACCAAUGCCAGAUGCAAUCCUCUUCAACCUCAUUCCUAUCAAGGGCUUCUUGUCACAUGCCAUCAAUCUCUAUCUUACUAUAAGCUAAUUUACUACUACUUAUAUAUAUAUAUAUAUAUAUAUAUAUAUAUAUAUAUAUAUAUAUAUAUAUAUAUAUAUAUAUAUAUAUAUAUAUAUAUAUAUAUAUAUAUAUAUAUAUAUAUAUAUAUAUAUGUCUCUUUUAAGUUAGUUUAUUUUAUUUCUAUAAAAUUUUUUGAAUCUAUAAUGUACAAAUUUUGUGGCAAUUUUGAGGAAAUGGAGAAUGAGUAUUUAAUGUGACAGAAUAAUUAAGGUCACGUUGUGUUGCAUUAAAAUAAAAAUGUCAGAUUGUGUUCCAAAUUAAUGAACUGCAUAAUGUCGACAUACGAUUUAAACAACAGAAAAAAACAAAUGGAUAGUUCAUCUCUUUAAUUUUACAAACUCUCAUAUUUGUAUCUAUCAUUUAAAAAUAUUGUGAUUUAAGCCCGCUUUUUAUAGAUGGACUCUAUUAAAAUUACCUUUUACCUCCCAAUUGAACAUGGACCAAAAAAUAAAAAUAAAAAAAAAAAUCCUCAAUUGGGUGGAAGUCAUUGCUCAUUUGGGAAUGGCAGCAAUUGACUUUACAGGAUUUGCAGAUAAACCACCAACAAAUGAUGCGGAAAAUAUUCUGGACUUCCAGGCCUAUGAAUUUUCGGCUCCAUUUCACCGAAAUCUGUCACUUGGCCGGUUGGCCCAACCUGAACAAGGCUGCACAUAAUCCUACUCUAUAACACUCAACUUCACGGGCGCUAAGCUCUGUGUCAAAACUACUCAGGUAAUCAAUUUGUCCUUUUUUUUUUGUUAAUUUGUGUAGAUAAAUAGAUAAAAUAGUAACCCAUGUAAAUGUUGGAUAACGGGCCUCACAAGUAGAAAAUUUGUCUAGUUCAUACUAGUUUGUGUAAUUAUUAGAAUCACUGGGUGAGACACACACUCUAUGUGUGCGUAUAUUUUAGGAAAAAGUAAAUAAUGAAAAAGAUAUAAAAUAACAAACUAGUUAGAGCAAAAGAAUUAAUUAUAGAGUAUUGGGAUUUUUUAAAUUGAAGUUAGCGGGAAGACUUGGAUAUAUAUAGUAGUAGUGGAUAAGUAUAGAAUUUAGAAGUAGCAGUUAUGUCAACAUGGAUGGUGUGGAGUAUGAGAUGGCAAUAUAAUACUUCAUCAUGCAAGGAGAAAAUUGGAAUAACAAAUAAUGAUAGAAUUUUUUUUAAACACAAAUUACAACUAUUUGGCAAAAAACUCUUGAAAAUACUUGCAAAACCUCUGAUAUUAAAUUGCACAUAAUUAGUAACAUAAGUUUAGAGUAAUUACAUUUAUCAAACAGUGAUACAAUCUCUAGUUGCUAGAAGGGGGAGGGAUGGUGAUAGGUUGAAAUUUGAUAUUAAAUUUAUGAUUAAUUUCUCUUUUAUUCUUGUCAAAUAUUGUUUUAAUUGUCAGAUUCUACUUAUAUUUUUUGUUUUGUGUUAAUUAUAGGGCGUUGGAGGGAAAAGUGCUAAAAAGGGACAAUUUUUCUGAAAUUGGUCAUCAAGCGCGAGUUUGCAAAGUCCAGAUGGAGUUUACGUAGGAAGUUAGGCAAAGACUAGGAAAUUGCCAUUUUUCUUAGAUGUUUUUAUUUAGGGAACAAUUAGGAUUAUUUUUGAAGUUUCCUUUUUCAAUUAGAAUUCUAUUUUUCAGUUAGCCAAGUAGAAACCGAAUUGGGGGUACUAAAAAAGGUCAAGAGGUCUUGUGACUGGCUCUCACGGAAAAAAGGCAGAAAGCUUUAGCCGCCUUCAUCCUUUUUUCUUUUUCUUACAUUUUGGACAUUAUCAGAUGGUUAUGAAAAACACUUCAAUCAAUUCGUAUUAUUUAAUGGCGAUAAUGUGCAACUAAAUUCUCUUUUUCUAGUCGAGGAAUAACAAAGGAUUUGAUUCAUCAAUAUCGGUGAGAUUUAAUCGUUUUUAUCAUAGUUAUUAAAACCAACCCGGACAUCAACCCGGCAAGAGGAUUGGGUUGACGGGUCAGUGAUUCAACCGGUGAGUCACUGGUUGAACUGUUGGGUCACAAUAUAUAAUAAAAAAUAUAUAUAAUAUAAUUAAAUAAACAUGUAAAUUAUAAUAUAAGUACAGAAAAAGAGCAUUUUUUUGGGUCAUUUGAAAUCUUUCUACCCUCUAGAUCUUCAUAUCCUAACAGAUCUUUUUUUCCUUUAGCUCCUAUUUUCAGUUACCGAAUUCAACCUGCCUAGGCUACUAAGAGGUUCAAUUUACUUUCUUGAAUAAGCUAAUAAACACAGAUUCAUAGUGCAACUAUAAUUCGUGCUUCUAUUAUAAGUUUCCACUCAAAUACAUCCCAGUCUGAAAAUCUUCAAACUGAGCAUUUCUCCAUUGGAUGUUUUCUAAGAUUCAUAACAAAAUUUAACUGUGAAAAUCUAAAUUGAUUGAACCAUAACUUUAGAAGUCAAGCAAGCACAAAGGAUGGCUCUACAUUUCUACCUCCCUUAGCUAUCAUGAGCUUGAGCUCUAGAACCUGACCAACAAAACAAGCAACUCAACAAAUUCUAGAGUGCAUCUCCUCUUAAAAAGCUAAAAGUGCCAAGAUUCAAUUAGUGCAUGCACGAGUAUCACACAAGGUGCCAUCAUAUGUACAAAAGUUCCAAUAUUUGAUGCACUUGCAAUAGCUUGUCAACUUUUACAAGUUACUGGGAAAUCAAAGUUUGAUGUUUAUGGUUUAUUUAAUAUUUUUAUAUAUUUUUUCCAUAGAUAAACAAUUGGGUUCUUCAACAUCAACUCUAAAACUGGAAUUCAAGAGACUUACCUUUAACGAGCAGCGUUGUAUAUACAUAUAUAUAUAACUAGAUGCACAUAACUCCUAACUUGGAGAGAAACACAUUAGCACUUGGUGCCGUGGUGUGUGCAGAUUCAUGAGCAGAAAGCUGGACUGCUGAAGCCAGGAUAUUACUUACCUUCAAGGCUUCACUGGCUUACAAAGCUUCAAGCCUUCAAUGGCAGCUUCGGUGGCAGCUGCAGCUUCCUGGAAGAAUUCUGGCAGCGGCUGCGGCAACUUCGAACUUUGAACUUCCAAGAUGCCAUGGUGUGUGCCUAACUGCAAAGCUUCACUGGCUUAUUGGCAAGGCGGCAACAAAGCUUCAAGCCUUCAAUGGCAGCUUCGGUGGCAGCGGCUUCCUGGAAGAAUUCUGGCAGCGGCUGCGGCAACUUCGAAUUUCCAAUUGCUUGCCUCAGACUCUAAAAGCAAUUAGCAAAGCACAGGAAAGAAAAAUUGAAAGCCGAAUCCCUAAAAAAUUGAAAGUCGAAAAAUUGAAAAACUGCUUACUAAAUCCCUGCUUGCCUCAAGAAGUUCUCAGUUCGUUCUCACUUCUCAGAGGAACAAAGAAGAAAAGAAUCCCUAAAUGCCUAAAUCCCCAAAUGGCCGAAUCCCUAUUCAAUUUUUCUGAUUUUCUCUUCUAAUUGGCUAAAAAUGUAACGAAAAGACGAUAAUGCCCAUGUAAUGUGAAUAGUCAAAAUAAAAGAAUUGGGUAAAACAGUAACUUCAAAAAAAUUGCCAAAACCCAUCGGGUUUAUCAAUAAUUGCCGGUUCUAGUGGUUCCCUUGUUAAACCGUCCAGGUCAAGCGGGUCGAAGCGGGUUCUUUGCAACUAACUAGUAACCCGGCCCCGUUUCAUGGCUGGGCCACCGGUUUGACCGGUCCGACCGCCGAGCCGGGCAGGGUUUAAUAACUAUGGUUUUUAUCAAUUUAUUUUAUUCGUUAAUAUUUGUAUGCCUUCUGAUUUAAUUUCUCAUGGUUUGUAGUUGUUUGAAUAUUAAAGGCACCUGAUAUUUAACUCAAGCUAACGAACUAUUGUCAAUUAGGACAGUUAAAUCUGUAAUUGUUUAAUUAUCUUAAAUUAGUGACAACUAAUGUGAUUGAGAUCAUGUUAGGGAGACAUACGAUAUAAAUUAAAUAAACCUUGGUAGUGUGUUUGUUAAUUAGAAUAGGGUUUUUUUUUUAUUUUUAAUGCAAUCAAGAAAUUAAAUUCUAUGGGCGUACCUAGAGUUAUUUUUUGGUUAGAAAAGUAGUUAACGAGCGUACCUUAACUAUUGAGACACUAAGAAAAAGUUGGUCGUUUAUGUUUAUUAGCGAAUAAUUGAAAUAAUUAUUGUAUCAAUAAUCAGUCAUUUGAACCACUCCCGGAGUUAUUUCCUUGGUUAGAGUUCGUUUAUCCUUCAAUUAAGUUUAACUUGUUUUAGUUUAAUUAUUUUUAAUUUGUAUUGAUUGUUUAUUUUCAUUUUCAAUUGUCCAGACUCCCCCGAUUAAUUCUUAUUUGGAAGGAAACAAAUUUUCCUCCUAAUCCCUAUGAAGACGACGCUACUUGCCAUUAUACUUGUUUACAUCUUUGAGAGUAUGAUUUUAUUAUUGCACAGACCAAUACCUGUCAGAUGGAUUGGGUGAGAAGGAGAAGGGAGUAUAAGUAAGAGAUUCUGGAUUCAAGACCUUCAACUUACACUAAAAUAAAAAAAAUACACUAAAAAUAAAACAAAGUAAGAAAAUCUCUAGUUACUAUGUUUGAUCAAACAAUGUUACAAUGGUACAACAGCGUAAUUUGUUUACGGUGGGAAGUUCUGAAGAAGUCAACGGUUGAUUUUUUUUCAUCUCUGCAUUUGUAGAUAGAAAAGCAUAUUUUAGGAAAAUCAAAGCAAAAUUUUGCUAAUCUUAUUUGGGUUUGUUUAUGCAAGCAUUAAAAUAUGAGAGCUAAGUGUGAUUCUCGAUGCCUAUUGCUAGCUUUUGCAAUUAUGUUAUACGUCAAAGGGGUUACAUGAAAUUAAUUUCAUAGAACAAUACUUUUGUAUAAAAUUCUAUGGAUCUUUGCACCUAUUCAGUACAAUUGAUUUGCAGAAAAAUGUGAGAAAGUCACUUCAAAAAGUAGUUCUUGAGCUUUUUUUUUUUUUUUUUGCUGAAACGAAGUAUUGAUAAAUUCAUAACUUUACACUUGUAGAGCAACGGCUCCAAGAGACUAUUCAAAAGUGUUAGACACAUUGAGAAUUGUUCCAUUUCUCAUCAUCACAAAUGCCAACUGCAUAAGUACUAACAGAUGUACUUAUAUUGUCAUUUGCUAUAUCUAAACAAAAUGAGCAUUUUUUAAAUAAAGAGUUUAAAUUGUUUAUGUCAUCUAUCAGAGUUGCCAGUCUAAUAUCUUUGGUUUUCCUAGACAUCAACGAUGAUAGAAGCUGCUUCUGGGGGGAUAUGGACCUUAAGUUCUGUCUAAUUCUUUCCUCUAGCCUUGAUCAAAGCUACUUUACUCAAGCUCACAAACAACCGCGCUGUUUGUGAGGUUUCAAAAAAUUUCCCCUUUUUUAUUCACUUUAUCCUUGUGAGGUAGAAAACUAAUCUAGGAAAGGAAAAAUAUAUAUCAGCAUUAUAUGAAUAUAAAAAUCUAUUCAUCUAGAAUAAUCAAUGGUUCAAAAGUACCUAAAAACAUUAAUUAGUAGUUUGUAAGAGUUUUUGAGAGAAAAGCUAGAUUGAAAACCAAUUAGAAAUUAAAUAACUACAUCAACUAUUAGCAUAAACUACUAUAGAAUUCUUCUAAAGCAUAAAACGUUGACAGAAAAUUAGAUCAGUAACCCAGAAAAACAAUCUAAAUUGUUCGACACAGAAUAUUUAUUCCAUUCAAUGCUAACAGUAAAAUAAUUAUCUUUAUAAUCGAUUGUAAAUAAACAAAAAUCAAUGAGAUUGUCGUAAUAUGGACUUUAAUGAAACAUAAUAGACUGCAAUGUAAAUAUGGAUAAUAUAAGAGAAUUAUUUGAACUCAAACUUUUUGAGAGAGUUGAAACAAUUGCUAGUAGAACGAGAGAAAGGUUUUGUUAUCUAGUUUUUGGGAUCAAAAUUAUCAAAAGGCAAGGAAAGGAUAUAUUUGGCUUCCAACCAAAUAAUAGUUUAUUGGGGAAAAAUUCCUUCCAACCAGAGGAUUACGUCAACAAGCUGUUGUUUAGCCUCUACAAUCUCGACAGUUACAGUCGCCACAAAUCCAUAGACAAAUUCUUGCAUGUAUUAGACAUUUGUCACGGGGUUUUGCUUUUACCUUCCGGUGCCAGUCAUCGACAUAGAAAAAUAUGGCCAAGUUGGGUUCUUGAGAAGACAAUUCCAUCUGCAACAGAGCUUCACGGAGCAGGAAUCCAAAUGCAAAGAAGCAGAAGUCUCCAUUACAUAGGAUUUUACAAAGGUGUUUUCUGCGUCACCCUCAAGGUGCCUGUAAUUGUUGUGGAUAAUAUUACUGAAACAUUCUUUCUCAACCUAUUAGCUUUCGAGCGUUUACAAGUCGGGGCAGGCAGAGAAGUGACUAACUAUCUUGCUUUCAUGAACAAUAUCAUCCGAGACUCCAAGGACAUUAGUCUCAUUCGUUCUUGUGGGAUCAUCCAAAAUUCUCUUGGUAAGGAUGAAGUUGUUGCUGAUUUAUUCAACUCCCUGACCAAAGAUGUCACAAUUGAUACAGAGCUUGAUUUAUAUGGUCGAUAAGGAAGUUAUCAAGUAUUGCAAUAGACCUUGGGUUCGUUGGAGAGCCAAUCUUGUUAGGACUUACUUUAGCAAUCCAUGGGCAAGUAUAUCUGUAAUAGGUUCAAUGUUUCUUUUUGCCUUCACCUUUGCCCAGACUGGUUAUACCAUAAUUGCUUACUACCGGAGGCCUUAGUGGAUGUUUAGGCAUUUCUUGUUACCAAUUUCAUGGGUAUUGAUCAUCAAUUGUUGGUAAAAACGGUGAAGAGGCUUAAAGUGUCAUUGGAAUCAAUAAGAUGGAG